GCAGGGGGAAUGGUUGUUGGGGAAUUAUUUGUUCUGGUUGCUGGGGGAAUGGUAGUUGGGGCCGGGGAAAUGGUUGUUGGGGUUGCUGGGGGAAUGGCUGUUGUGGUUGCAGAGGGAAUGAUUGUUGGGUCUGGGGAAAUGGUUGUUGUGAUUGCUGGGAAAAUUGUUGUUGGGGUGUGGGAAAUGGUUGUUGCGAUGGAUAUGGUUGCUGUGAUGGAUAUGGUUGUUGUGGAUAUGGCUGUUGUAGAAAUGGUUGUUGUUGAUAGGAAAAUGAUUGUUGAGGUGAUUGUAAUUCUUUGUUGCUAGGGUUUAGCUGCCUAGCGGCAGUGGCGAUGUUCAUCGCCAUGGCAAGGAGGACAAAGAUGAGGAAGGUCUUCAUGUUGGAUUUGUGGUUACUACUGCUUGCUUGCUUUUGAUGCUUGUGGUCUAGGUGUGUGAAGUUUGGAUGAUGAAAUGUGGUCUUGGUGGUGCAUGUGUAUUUAUAGUUUUCAUGGCAUGGCUUGCUUUCUUCUUCCCACUCGCUUUUUGAAAAAGUGCACCAAUGCUUAUCCAACUAAUCAUUUGAUUUGUUGUGUUUGGUGCAACUACUUACUAGCAAGAUUUUGGAUUUUCAUGAUAGUUGCUUUUUGUUGAAAUCAUCUGGUUGUAAGGAAUGUUGGAUAAUGACCAAUGACUCAUCUUCUUCACUUUACACUGCAAACAUUGAUCUAAAUUAUAUCCUUUUUUGAAAUUUAGUUUGUGAAGCUCUACAUGUUGUUAGGCUUAUCUAUAUUGGCAUAGCUUGAGUGGAAUUAAGUUUGUAAGCUUGUGAGCGUCAUUAUGAUGGAUCACACUAUUAAUGUGAUGAUUGUACUACAAAUUAUCUUUCCAAAACUAAUUUUAUGUUUUUUCCCAAUAUGAUUCUAAGACGGAUAACCAGACAUGACUCAUCAAAUAACAAGAUAAACCGAGUAGCAAAUUGGGGUUAUAAGUUAUAACAUGGACUUUUCUCUAAGAUACACUAUCUUGUCUUGCAUGCUCUGUGAAUUUGAAAAGCAUCUACUAAUUUAUAUGCAAUUGAAACAAAAGUAGACCAGAAAGAUAAGCAAUGAAAUGAGAAUACUAUUAUGUGAAGCUCUACAUGUUUGGCAAGCAAUAAGAUACUGGAUACAUCUAUAUCUUCAAUCCUGACAAUUUUUCUCAUCCCUAUCAACUCUUUAUUGGCUGCCUUUACUGUAGUCAUCCCUUAAAUAAAAAUCACUUAAAGAUAAGUUUGGGAGCUAGUACCAGCAUCUAUCAUGUACAAGAUAAAAAACUAAGGCACAUAUAGUAGUCUAUUGACUAUAUUUAAUUUCAUGUGAUGUGAAAGCAUGUGGAGUAUAAGUUGGUUAAAUAUAAAAUUGUCCUUCAUACCAGUAGGGAAAGAAUAUGCAGUAUAAAGAUUAGAGCAUUAUUAAUAUGCUAUUAAAUGCUACAGGAUAAUCGAUAGUUCAAGUUAAGAACAACAAUAGCAUUCCAACUUUUGUUUUGUGCAAGUUAAGAACAUGCUAACAAAGUAACCUAAGCAAAUAAGUGCAACACCUUCACCUAUAAGGAAAUUUUGAAACUACACAAAAUGACCUAUUGUAAAGAAGGAAAAAAAUCUAAAGGUGAAUGAAAAGCAUGUUAAGUACAUUCAGGAUUCGGUUAUGCCUUCAUGGAUAACCUUUUAGAUGGUGACUUGUCAACCUUGAUGUGUGUCGGCAUGGAACGAGGACAAGAAGACAUCGUUACGUCGUACUUUGGGAAUUUCAUCAAACUGGUUGUGUGCGGGAACAAAUAUUUGUCGCCUCCCUGCUCAAAUCUCUCUUCAUGUCACUAAAUCCGACACUCCACCUACCAAAAUCAGCUGCAAGCCAGGGACAAUCAACAGGUUUCUCCGCCCGUAGCAUCUAUCACCAAAAGAAGUUCAGACUAUAGUCUUGUAGUUUAAAAUUUUGUAAUAACAAGCACUACUAGGUUGCUCUUGUUUGUACGUCUUCAUUAUGUACAACCCAUGGAACUUAAAAUGCAUGGGUCAUUCUUCGGUAUAUACAACCAAUGCAACCAAACAUGCAUUGGGCUUUUCUUUGUACAUCUUCAGGUUCUACAACCAAUGCAACAAAAAAUCCAUUGGGCAGUCUUCCAUUCUAGUCGGGCACCAAUAGUUAAACGAGGAGCUAAACAGUGUUGGAGUCUAAAACUACAUACAAUCAUGAAGCAGAGAGAUGCGACUUGGAAGUUGUGCUCCUGUGAGCUCGUAUUUUUGAAGAAAAAAGUAAUAUUUGUAUUUUGAAGUGGGAAAAAGUCCUAAAAAGGGAUGUUUUGCGGGUUAUAACUUACUAUUUUUGAGUCCUGGGCUGCAGGAAGGUCGUAAAAAAUCAAUGUGUUUUCCCAUUCAUGCAUGUUUCUUGGGUUAUAGGUCACGCUUUUGGUGUCCUAGGGAGAUCACUUCCCCAGUUGGGAACAUUAGGUGAUGAUUUUUAGCAAAACUCAUUGUUUUAGCCUAACUAGUUUCGAGGAUUGGUGGACAAGAUUAUCAUGGAACAAAGUGACAACCUUCCUUUUCUUCAUGCCUAAUAUAAACUUAGCAGUCAACUAAAAGUAACUAGCGAUAUCACAGAAUGUUUUUUUGUCAAAAGUAGAUACCACUUCAGGAUUCAACUCGGUUAGUUCAAUCAUAGACAUGUUAAGAGCAGGAUUUACAACUAACUGCAUAGGGAACAUCUCCUUUUAUCGCCCACUAUCUGUCUAUGCACUUUGGUUUUCCCGUAGCAGCACACAAAGCACUUUGUUAGUACCAAUAAUGUGCUCCAACUCUACACAUUAAUCAUCUUGAAUUCUUCUACUGAUGUCGAACAAUGUUAUAUCUUGAAUUCUUCUAACGAGUUCAGAUUAUACUACAUGGGCAAUUUAUCUGGUCCCUGAGAUGCAAGGUCGAUGAACAAUCGCUUCGUCUGAUGAUGAGGGAUUGUUUUUGCCUAAGAAACCAAUACAUGUAACUUCGACGCCAGAUUAAUAAUUGGUAAAACCCAAAUAAAUUAGAUCACGAGCUAAACCAUUUAAUUUUGUAUGCAUUUAAACUUUUGAUACAUAUGAGCUUGUUAAGAUGUUCGCAUAAACACCAUGGUGAUUUGAAGCAAGACAAAGUAAACUUGAACCGCUUGAGCCACUGACUUAAUAAGAACCUCCUUUCCCGUGGCAGAGAUCGUUUUUAAUACAUCCACUCACUUUGGUUCUCUUAUGAAAUCUAGAUUCCUUCGCUAAGGCUAUUGCUCCAGUAUUGUCACAAAAGAUUUUUGUUGGACCCGAUGCACUAGGUAUGACACCUAGAUCGGAUAUGAACUCCUUCAUCCCGACUCCUUCAUUUGCUACUUCCGAAGCAGCUAUGUACUCCUCUUCACAUGUAGAUCCCUCCACGACGCUUUGCUUGAAACUGCACCAACUGACAGCUCCACCAUUCAAUAUAAAUACGUAUCCGGUUUGUGACUUAGAGUCAUCCAGAUCAGUGUCAAAGCUUGCAUCAACGUAACCAUUUACAACGAGCUCUUUGUCACCUCCAUAAAUGAGAAACAUAUCCUUAGUCCUUUUCAGGUAUUUCAAGAUGUUCUUGACCGCUAUCCUAUGAUCCACUCCUGGAUUACUUUGGUACCUCCCUGCUAAACUGAUAGCAAGGCACACAUCUGGUCUGGUACAUAGCAUUGCAUACAUGAUAGAACCUAUUGCUGAAGCAUAGGGAAUGACUUUCAUUUUCUCUCUAUCUUCUGCAUUGGUCGGGCAUUGAGUCUAACUCAACUUCACACCUUGUAACACAGGCAAGAACCCUUUCUUUCCUUGAUCCAUUUUGAACUUCUUCAAAACUUUAUCAAGGUAUGUGCUUUGUGAAUGUCUAAUUAACCGUCUUGACCUAUCUUUAUAGAUCUUGAUGCCCAAUAUAUAAGCAGCUUCACCGAGGUCUUUCAUUGAAAAAUUCUUAUUCAAGUAUCCUUUUAUGCUAUCCAGAAAUUUCGUAUCAUUUUCGAUCAACAAUAUGUCAUCCACAUAUAAUAUCAGAAAUGCUACAAAGCUCCCACUCACUUUAUAAAGGCUUCUCCAAAAGUCUGUAUAAAACCAUAUGAUUUGAUCACACUAUCAAAAUGUAUAUUCCAACUCUGAGAGGCUUGCACCAAUCCAUAAAUGGAUCACUGGGCUUGCACACUUUGUUAACACCUUUUGGAUCGACAAAACCUUUUGGUUGCAUCAUAUACAACUCUUCUUUAAGAUAUCCAUUAAGAAAUGCAGUUUUGACAUCCAUUUGCCAAAUUUCAUAAUCAUAAAAUGCGGCAAUUGCUAACAUGAUUUGGACAGACUUAAGCAUCGCUACGGGUGAGAAGGUCUCAUCAUAAUCAACUCCUUGAACUUGUCGAAAACCUUUCGCAAAAAGUCGAGAUUUGUAGACAGUAACAUUACCAUCAUCGUCAGUCUUCUUCUUGAAGAUCCAUUUAUUCUCUAUGGCUUGCCGAUCAUCGGGAAAGUCAACCAAAGUCCACACUUUGUUCUCAUACAUGGAUCCCAUCUCAGAUUUCAUGGCCUCAAGCCAUUUCGAGGAAUCUGGGCUCAUCAUUGCUUCCUCAUAGUUUGUAGGUUCAUCAUGGUUGAGUAACAUGACCUCCAGAACAGGAUUACCAUACCACUCUUGUUGGGAAUAUGACUACCAGGUAUGACCCGCCCAGGAGGGGCCGGGUCAAUCCUAAUGGCGGGUUACUAAAAGAAGCUCAGUGAAUAUACAAGGCGAUAGUUUAUUAUAAGACUUGUAGUAGGACCAAGCCCAAAGGCGGGUUAAGGCCCAUAAUUGUAAACCGCCAUGUAUAAGAAAGAAUUGUAAAGAAAGGCAUGUAAGAGAAGUCACCGAGCCGGGCACGUUAUAUGAGCCGGCUGGGACUCUGUAGGCCGCCAGGCGUCAACCCGUGUAUAUAAGGGGACGACCCGGUGGCGGCUUAGGGCAAGUAACAUCAAAUCGAGAGCCAUGCAUAGCGUAUUUGCUCCCUGGUCAUCGAAACCUAGCAAUACCACAUCAACUGGACUAGGCUUUACCUUCACCGUAGGGGGCCGAACCAGUAUAAACCUUUCGUGUCCUUUGUCCCGAUUAACCCCUUUAAGCUUCCUAGUUGCGAUGGCUCCACGACUAAGUCCUUUCAGUAGGACAUCUGCCGUGACAAUUCCACGACAGUUGGCGCCCACCGUGGGGCCAUCGCACGAUGGAUUUGAGUUCUUGAAGGGCAGCUUCCAAGGGCUCAAGGGAUACGCUGUGGGCCGGAUAACCAAAAGUUGUCACAGCAAGCUCUACAUCGACGACGCAGGCUGGGGCCCCGAGGCUGGCUCAAUCGAGUACGGGUACCGGGUCCCCUUCGGCGGAAUCCACGUCUUCAUCGGCCGGAUCGGCGAGCCGGGCCCUGAGUCGGACAUCUGCACCGACCUCAUCGAGAUGGCUCAGCGAGUGAGACCUGCCCGGGCUCAACCUGCCGUGAGGCGUGCCUUCGUGGGUUGCAUCCAUGGAGGGGAAUUUUCUGAAGGAUCGAUGGACGGUGGUGAGACAGUCGUUUGCUCUAGCAGUGAGUCGUCCAUAGGCGAGACAGAUUCUUUGUAUCAGCUACAAGAUGGCGGGCUUGGGGGCUGUUCCGAUGGCAGUAGUAUUCCGGACCCCUCUGAGCCGCCGAAUCGAGCCGGAGUCUUCAUGGCUGGCACUCAACCUGGUUAGAAUUCUAUGGCUGCGGCAGCAAUAACCACUGGGUCAGCAGGGGCCGGGUCAGGAGACCCCGCGCGCCCACCGGCUCAGGUACUAAUGGACCUCAUGGAUAGGAUGACGGCCCUGUUGACUGCUGUGGUUGAGCCGGCAGAUAAGGCUCAGCAUGACGCAGAGGUAGCACAGCUACACAGAGAGGUAGCACAGGCCAAGGAAAAUUUAGUGGCGGAAGAUGUCAGGAUGGCCGCGGAACGGGCGGCUCUGGAUGCACGGGCUCGGCAGCUUCAAGCGAAGACUUUCUGGCUCUCGGUGGAUCUGAACGCAUCAAACGAGGUCACGAGGAGAAGGCACCAGAAGGCUCAAUCAUGUCUGCCUCUGACUUACGAUCCUAGGAACCUUUUUCACACACCCGGGACUGGUCCCAGUAACCCGCUGAAGGCAAACCGGAUCACAACACCCGGGACCGGGACGCCGGUUCAACCGCGGGCCAUGGAACCACCGCGUGUGAAUACUGCUCUGCCUCACUACACAGCGAUACCACCGGGUCACUUCUCUAACCCCUUGGAGAACCUUAUUGCUGCGUCGGCUCAUCUGGCGGCUCUCCCGAUGGAAGGUGACUCUUCGACGGCGAUCGAGACACGACGGGUCAGAGAACUUCUUCAGACGGCUCUGGCACAGCAGGAUGCAUAUUCUUAUAGUUGAGAUAGAAUCCAUUCAACCCCUCGCCCAAGCCGGAGCCCAAGCUAUAGCAGGCAUAUGGACUCGGCGGCCAUGUCAAGCAACACCCAGCGCCGUAACCAUCCACGUGGGCGUGACCCGGCCCCGGGCGGAGCUUGUAACUUGGUAGACCAGGAGAGGAUCCGUCAAGAGGCUGAACGGGUGGUUCAACAGGCGGCUGAGCAAGCGGCUCACCAAGCUUUUCCAAUUUAUACAGUGACCUCUGUUGAAGCAGGGGUGGCCACAAGGACAGGAGGAGUCCCUUGUCUUGUGCAGUCUCUGCGUAAUGAGCGUUUACCAAAGGACUUUAAGGGGCCUCGUAAGGUGCCCAAUUACACAGCCGACCUGCAGCCCGGAGCAUGGAUUGAAAGUUACGAGAUGGCCAUGGAGUUAUUAUAAGUCAGUGACGCAGCAAUGGCCAAAUACUUCACCAUGAUGUUGGAUGGAACAGCUCGUACUUGGUUAAAGGGGUUACCGCCCAACUCCAUCGGCUCAUGGGCGGAGUUGAAGGCACGGUUCAUUCAGAACUUUAAAGAUACCUGUAAACAGCCCAUGUCAAUCGUGGACUUGACUAACUGCAAGCAAGAGGAAGGCAAAUCCAUGACCCAUUGGGUGCGCCGGGUCAAGGAAAUAAUACAUUCAUCUGAUAAGAUGGAUGCCAGCUCCACGGUCUUAAUGUUGGAGAAAAAUUACCGUUUUGAACCUCUGAAACAGAAGCUGGGGCGGCUCAAGCAUGAUUGUAAUGACAUGGGCCAGUUGAUGGCGGCUCUGGUCAAAUAUGCUGACUCUGACAGUACCAAGGAUCCCAUGUCUGACGAAGAGAAGACGAGGAAGGGAAAGAAGAACGGCAACGGCAAGGGUCACCAGCAUAACCCGACAAAUCAAGGAGGUAAUAAACGCAAGGCUGACGAGUUUGUGGCUAACACCAAUGCACAUGGCAACAACCAAUGGCGCAAGGGGAGGCCACCUCCUCGGUCAGGCGGAUCAGGUCCCACCCUCGAGCAACUACUAAAUGAACCCUGUCCGGGACAUGGCACCCGGGAGAAGCCGGCUACCCAUCUGUGGAAGGAUUGUACGAUCAUGAAGGCUUUUAAGAAUUCUAACAUGUUUGAUGGUAACCACGGGCCUGCUGGCGGCUCAGGCGGUGGCGGUUUUCAUGGCCAAGGCCAUCCGGGUAGUCAAGGCGAUUAUAGUCAGCAAUCCGGCCAGGGCAGUCAGCAACAGCAGCAACAGCCCGUGUAUCAGAGUAACCCAAAACAGCUGAACAGUGGACAGUACCAUGUGUUUACCACCAGUUUGUGCAAGAGGGACCAGAAGCUUCAGAAGAGGGAUGUAAAUGCUAUUGAGCCGGCGGUUCCACGUUAUUUGAGAUGGUCUGAACAACCUAUUCUGUGGAGUAGGGAAGAUCACCCACCCCGGGUUGAUAAUCCGGGUCAUCUGGCUUUGGUGGUGGCGCCUCAGGUUGGUGGAUAUAAGUUCACUAAAGUGCUCAUGGACGGAGGCAGUAGCAUCAACGUCCUCUAUUAUGAGACGUUCUGUCGCAUGGGGUUGACUGAUAAGAGUCUUAAAACAUCCAACACUGUUUUUAUGGGGUAGUGCCUGGUAAGUCGGCGUACCCAGUUGGUAAAAUUGAGCUGGAAGUGGCCUUUGGAGAUGAGUAUGAUUCUAGGGCUGAGAAGCUAACUUUUGAAGUGGUUAAAAUCAAGAGCCCAUAUCACGCUCUGUUUGGACGGCCGGCUUAUGCUAAGUUCAUGGCCCGGCCGUGUUAUGUGUAUUUGCAGCUCAAAAUGUUGGGUUAUAAAGGCACUAUCAUAGUACAUGGAAGCCGGAAAAUAGCCCUGGAAUGUGAAGAAGGUGAUGCUGCAUAUGCCGAGUCUGUUUGUGCAACAGAGGAAUUGAAGUUUUAUAAGGAUAAUGUUGACCCGGCAAACAUGGCGUCUUUGAAGAAGCCAACUACGGAGCAUGAGCCGGCAUUGAAAUUCAAGUCCGCUGAUGACACCAAGAUGAUUGAUUUCGUGUCUGGCGACUCAUCCAGACACUUCAUUAUCAGUGCUAACUUGGAUCCAAAAUAGGAAAGCGUGCUCAUCGAGUUCAUCCAUGAGAACCGGGACAUCAUUGCAUGGAAGCCUUCUGACAUGCCGGGUGUUCCGAGAGAACUCGUUGAGCACACUCUCAAUAUUCAUCCAAAGUUUAAGAUGGUCGGGCAAUUUCUUCGGCGGUUUAACGAGGAAAGGUGCAAGGCCAUUGGAGAAGAGGUGGCCCGGCUCUUGGCGGCCGGGUUCAUUGUUGAAGUUUUUCACCCAGAGUGGUUGGCUAACUCGGUGCUUGUGCUUAAAAAGAACGGCACCUGGCGCAUGUGUGUGGAUUACACAAAUUUAAACAAGGCUCGUCCAGCUGAUCCUUUUGCUCUCCCUCGUAUUGAUCAAAUCAUUGAUGCUACGGAGGGUUGUGAGCGUUUGAGUUUUCUGGAUGCUUAUUCGGGUUAUCAUCAGAUCAAGAUGGCAGUUAAGGACCAGGAGAAAACAGCUUUCAUCACUCCGUUUGGAGCCUUCUGCUAUGUGUCUAUGCCUUUUGGGCUCAAGAGUGCCCACGCGACUUAUCAGCGGUGUGUACAAAAUUGCCUUCAUAAUCAGAUUGGGUGUAAUGUUCAUGCUUAUGUGGAUGAUAUAGUGGUGAAAUCCAGAGAGAAGGAAACCUUAGUAGCUGAUCUAAAGGAAACCUUUGGUAACCUCCGGGUCUACAAGAUGAUGCUUAACCCGGCCAAGUGUGUUUUUGGAGUCCCAGCUGGCAAGCUCUUGGGUUUUUUGGUGUCUAAUGGAGGCAUUGAGGCUAACUCGGAGAAAAUAAAGGCAACCACGUCUUUGGCUAAACCGGCAUGCAUCAAUGACGUUCAGCGGCUGGCGGGCCGUGUCGCAGCUUUAAGCCGGUUUAUAAGUCGGUUGGGCGAGAAGGCUAUGCCAUUGUAUCAAAUGAUGAAAAAGGUGGAUGACUUUGUAUGGAGUGACGCUGCUGAUUCCGCUUUUGAAGGUUUGAAAAGACAGCUUGCUGGGCCACCUAUUCUUGCUGCCCCCGUUGAGAAGGAGCCGCUAUUGUUAUAUGUGGCUGCUAACUCACAAGCCGUCGGCAUGGCCAUUAUUGUGGAGCGCAAGGAGGUUGGCAAGGAACAUCCAGUUCAAUGGCCGGUUUACUACGUCAGUGAGGUGCUCAUUGGAUCCAAGAAAAGAUACCCACAUUAGCAAAAACUUGUUUAUGGGGUGUUCAUGGCAAGCCGGAAGCUUAAGCAUUACUUCCAGGGUCAUCCUAUCACUGUGGUUAGCUCUGCUCCUUUAGGAGAUAUUAUUUAGAACAGAGAAGCCACAGGACGAGUCGCCAAGUGGGCCAUUGAGCUUGGGGUCUCAUAAUAUAAAGUAUGUGCCACGUACGGCUAUUAAGUCUCAAGCACUGGUGGACUUCAUUAAUGAUUGGACGGAGUUACAGACACCUGAAGAGAAGCCAGACAACACAUAUUGGACGAUUCAUUUCGAUGGGUCCAGGCAGUUGGAAGGCUCGGGGGCUGGAGUUGUGUUAACUUCUCCUCGAGGUGACAAGUUUUGUUAUGUGUUGCGAUUGAUGUUUCCUUGUACUAACAAUGCAGCAGAAUAUGGGGCCUUGCUCCAUGGUCUUCGAAUGGCUAAAGAGAUGAGUUUAAGACGGGUACGGUGCCUUGGCGACUCAGAUUUGGUGGCUCGGCAGGUGUCAGGCAAGUGGGAUUCCAAGGACCCUCUCAUGGCGGCUUAUCGCCGGGAAGUUGAUGAUGUUGUUGGACAUUUCAAAGGUUAUCAGGUGGAGCACAUUGACCGCAGAAAAAACAAAGCGGCUGAUGCUUUAAGCCGGUUGGGAUCACAGCGUAAGCUGGUGCCACCUAACACUUUUCUAGAUGUUCUUCAAAACCCUUCUGUCAAACUGCCUACAGAGGAAGAUUUGGUCAUUCCAGACCCGGAGGCACAGUUAGUAGCGGCUCUUCAUGUUAUUCCAGAUUGGACAUUACCGUAUUUGGCUUACAUGACCCGGGGUGAGUUGCCAGAGGAUGAGACCUUGGCUCGACAGAUAACCCGACGGUCUAAGUCAAUGACAAUUUCCAAUGGUGAGUUGUAUCAUCGCAGCGUCACUGGAGUGUUUCAACGUUGUGUCUCUCCCGAAGAAGGUCAAGAAAUUCUUCGUGAGAUCCAUGAAGGGGAUUGUGGUCAUCACGCUGGUUCAAAGUCUCUUGUGGCUAAAGCUUUUCGUCAUUGUUUUUACUGGCUAACGGCUCACGCUGAUGCAGAGGAUCUGGUCAGUAGGUGUGAUGGGUGUCAAAAAUUUGCACGACGAGCGCACGUGCCGGCUUAAGAAUUGCGGAUGAUUCCAAUCACUUGGCCGUUUGCAGUCUGGGGGCUUGACAUGGUUGGACCUUUUAAAAGAUCCAAGGAUAAAAAGACACAUCUUUUGGUGGUAGUUCACAAAUUUACAAAAUGGGUUGAGGCAGAGCCGGUUAGUAAGUGUGAUGCAGCCACGAUGGUUCAGUUCAUGAAAAAGGUGAUCUUUCGUUUUGGCUUUCCACAUAGCAUUAUAACUGACAAUGGUACUAAUCUGUCCAAAGGCAACAUGGAGGAGUUUUGUCAAUGUGAGCAUAUCCGGCUUGAUGUUUUGUCUGUAGCUCACCCCCAAUCCAAUGGUCAAGCUGAGAGAGCAAAUCAGGAAAUCCUAAAAGGUCUCAAGCCCGACUUAUGGUUCGUUUACAACGGACGCCGGGUUGUUGGGUGGAGGAAUUACCCUCGGUGCUGUGGAGUAUCAAUACCACUCCUAACAGAUCUACAGGUUAUACACCUUUCUUCAUGGUUUAUGGAGCAGAAGCAGUUCUGCCUAGUGACAUCCGUCAUGACUCACCUCGCGUGGCGGCCUAUGUUGAAGCUGAUAAUGAACAAGCCCGACAGGAUGCACUUGACUUGUUAGAUGAGGAGAGAGAUUUGGCAGUGGCUCAAUCAGCAAUUUAUCAACAAGACUUGCGCCGUUAUCACAGCCGCCGGGUUAAGUCCAGAACCUUUCAAGAAGGUGACCUAGUGCUCCGGCUCAUCCAGGAUCUGUCUGAUGCACACAAGCUAUCCCCGCCUUGGGAAGGACCCUUUGUGGUCAACAAGAACUUAAACAAUGGGUCAUAUUACCUCAUUGAUGUUCGAGAGCACAAAGACCCACGUAAGUCGGAGGAGGAGACCCGCCGGCCGUGGAACAUCGCUCAGCUUCGGCCAUACUACACUUAAACCAUCGGCUCUCAUCAUGUACAUACUUUGACGUUGUAUAUAAUAUGAUAAGUAAUAAAGCAGGACCUCUGUCCUUUUUCCCCUUCAAUGAUCAUAUAUCUUUAUUAUUUUCAUUAUUUAAAAUGACCAUUAGGGGGCUGAUCGUAUCCGAAUCUAGCUUAACCCUUUUGGUCCGGCUCAUGAUCGUAUUCGAAUCUAGCCGUAAAACUCAUGGUCACUUGGGGGCUUCCUGUUCAAACAUAGGUCGUAUUCGAACCAAAGAGAACAUAGCUGUCGUAACCCUCUUGAUCGGCUCAAAGCCAAACUCACUAGGGGGCUUCUUGAUCGUAUCUGAAUCAUAGCUUAACCCCUUUUUGGGUCCAACUUGGAUCGUAUUCGAAUCAGGGUCGUUAAAAACCUCUCAAGGUCAUUUGGGGGCUUCCUAUUCAAACAUAGGUCGUAUUCGAACCAAAGAGAACAUAGCUGUCGGUACCCUCUUGAUCGGCGCAACGCCAAAGCCACUGGGGGCUAUAUGAUCGUAUCCGAAUCUUAGCUUAACCCCUUUGGUCCGGUUUACUGAUCGUAUUCGAAUUAGAAGCCUCCAGUUUUUAUUUAAAUGUUUGAUUUACAUUGUCUGAAGCCUAGUGUUUUAUCUUACUAUUUUUAUCGUCUCAAAUCUAACUGUUAGUAUGGUUUCAAAUUAAACCGGCUUGGCUAUUUGACAAUGUGUCGCCAAGGCAUAACAGUCAUCAGACAUAUGGAAGUAUUGACUUCUAAAAAAGAUUGGGUUAUCAACCUCAUCAUCCGGGUCAUGUAAACCGACAGUCCAUGUUCAAAAACCACAGGUAUGACAGUGUCAUUCAUGAACAGACUUCCCUGGGUUUUUCGUCAGUCAAAGGAUUUUUCAGCCUUGUUUAUCUUACAUCUGGUUCUAUUUUUUCCACUAUGAUAAUUUCAUAAUCAUGUACCGGGUGUUUUGACCCGUCCGGUGCUAAGCCACCGGGACAGUUUUUUUCAUCUUUUACAGGAACAGAGUUAAAACAUUACAGAUGUAACCACGAUGUAAUGCAUAUAUAUAUUGACAUCAUGGGCAAAGAGUCAUAUGAAACAUCUUAUGCACGAUGGCAUAGGCAAAAUAUGCAAUUUUCAAACUAACCUAUUACAAGGCAUUGAGAGCCCAAAAGGUUAAACGGUUUUCUCUCUUAAGCAGGUCUUAAGCUAAAAACUGGAUUGUUCAGAUGGUUAUGACUCCUCCCUGGCCGUUUCACCUCCCUCCACUGGUUGGAAGCUGGGAUUGGACCAGUCAAAGCCGUUCAGAGCAAUGAACUCAGCCUCAUCGUCAAUUAGGCCGGCCGGGUCAAUUUGCAGGGCAAAAGUGUGUUGACGAACCGGCGGGAUAAGAUCCAUCACUUUAUAAGAGGGAGUCGCCAUCUUUUUAUUCUCCAUAUCAAAACCCGACUGAUAUUUUUCGAUGUUGGUCUCCUCACCAAGAAUGGUAGCCUGAGGACGAACUCCCCUCACACAAGCAAUAAAGUCAUCUUGCUCAAACGGAGUCCCGUCUUCCUUCAUGGUAGGGUACCCCUUAGCCACGUCCACCGGGUGUAAAUCGGGCACCCAGGCUUUGGAGCGGCUCAGGGCAGUCAGGGCUCCGACUCUGGCACAAGAUCGUUUGACCUCUUGAAAUCUGGCGGGUAAGAUCGAUAACUUCUUCAAAACAUCACUUAAACGGUUGGGUCCUUGGUUGGCAGGGGAUAUAUAUAGUAGAAAGUGCUCGUUGAGCACCAGUGUACAGUUGCUCCACCAAGGUAUAAACCGCCUUCAGUUUUGUCACACUAUCUUGACUCAGAUAUUUUACUUCGUGGACCUGUGAGUACUUUUUAACAAAGGCUCAGCAGGCGGCUUAUAUUUCUGGUUAAAAUAAAGUAUAAGUGACUAAUGCAAAUGACUUACCAAAGAUGGCGGAGACCAUUUGAUACACACGGUUUUUUAAGCCGGUGAGCUCCAUGGUAACCUCCUCAAGAGUCGCCUCUGCUGUCUUGGCACGUUGUGUCAGCAAGGUCUUCUCAUCGGCCCAGGAUUUCUUCUUCUCAGUCACACUGGUCUUCAAUUUUUCAGUUUUAGAGAGACUCAAUUGGAGUUUGGAGUUAGCAGUCUUUAUCUCCGCUUCUUGAUCCGCCAGCCGGGUCUUUGCAUCCGUCAAUUGAGAUCCCAAUUCAGUUAGGGCGGUCUACAAACAUGCAUAGGUGUGUCAAAAUUUAAACACAAGUUAUAUUGAUUAAAGUCGCGAGUGCUUUGCAACGCAACACCACUUGGCACUUGGGGGCUAAUGUCUGCCAAAGCAAUUUUAUGCAAAAUGACUCUUCUAUGUUUCAAGUCCCAAGUGUUUUACAAAGUAACAACGCUUGGCACUUGGGGGCUAAUGCAUGAUAUUCAGAAAGUUUUUCAAGAUGAGCCGGAUCACACUACUUAUUUGGACUAAUCUAAGACAGUUAUGAAGUUAAGUACCGGGUCAUUUAUGAUAAAUUGAGCCGGCCCUUGGGGACUACAUGUGAAGUUUAUACUAAUCCGUUGAACUUAGGAAAAAUCUAAAGACAAGGUAUCAACCUAUAUCAUAAGUCUACAGAUCAUUCAGGUUCAUCAUAAUCUGAAGACUUGGGGGCUGGCAGAGUAUAUAUAAACCGGAGAACGUACCUCAUAUUCUGUAACAUCCCAAAUUUUCAAUUUGGAAUGUUACACGUUAGGUCAUCAUGCAUAUCAUAUUUUAUUUUUCUUUUGGUUUUGAUCCUAGAAAAUCCUAAGCAACUCAAGGACCCACGGAGAGAGUUGGGGAUUUCAUUAUUUACAUAUUUGAGUUUUCUCAAAUUAUGUAAACAGGAUCAUUUGAUUUUAUUUAUUCUAUCAUCAAUUAUUUCUAUUACAAAAAUAUGAGAGAGGGAAUAAAAUGACUUUUCCAAAAUAUAGAAAUAUUGAGGAUUUAAUAAAAAAUCAAAUAAGUUUUAUUUCGGAGUUUUUUGGUAUUUUUAUUUGAAUUUAGGAAAAAUGCGCGUUUUUCAAAUUGUAGUUUGGGCCCAGAUAAAUGUUCACUUUAUCGGGCUUGAUUUUAGGAACCCGGCAAAAUUUAUUUCGUGAUUUUUGGAGUCCGUUUAGUAUUUCUUUUUAUUUUUCUUCCGAGCGGAUUUAAAAAAAAACUAGAACCGACUCCGUGCCGUAACCGGCCAGGAAACCUCCGCCCGGGGCCUUUAUAUAGCGCCCGAACCGGCCGAGAGAGAGAGAGAGGCCCGAAGCCAGCUAACCCUAACCCUAGCUAAGCCGCCGCCGCCUCCCAGCCGUCGCCGCCCGCCGCUGCCGACUCGCCGGAGCGCGCGCCUUUCGAGGUUCGCCGCCGCCUCGUUUUCCGUGAAGUUUUUUUUUAAAAAAAAAAUCUGUUCGUCGUUUUUCUUUUUCGUCGGAUUUUCCGCGGUUAUUUUCUGAUCGCGAUUUCUGAUCCGGUUUUCGUUUUAGUAUAACUUUUCGCUCGUUUAUCGGAAUCAGGCGAUUCAAGCGCCUGGAGUUUCGUCUCGAAACCCUCUUUCCGAAUAAUCAACUUAAACAAGUUUUUGCUACUGUAAAAUUUGCCCUAGAUCCAGAUUACUAGAAGGAAGUUGUUUUUUUUGCCGUUUGAUUUCUUUCGCUUCGUUCGAUUUGAUUCUUUUGCCAACCAGGGUUCUUAAGUUGAACUUUCUGGUUAGAUCUUCUAUUUGAGUUUUACUUGUGCAUUAGAUGAGUACUUAUUGUAUGCUUGAUGUUUGUCUGUGAUAGAAUACCCGGAGUGCGCCGCCUGUUACUUCGAAUCUCUAGGUUUCGCGGAUCAUCAGCAAGGCAAGUAACACUUUGAUCAUACCUUUUCUACAACCCAGUUUUAUUGCAUUAGAUCAAUCCUCACACAUUGCAUGAUUAGGAUCUAAUUAAAUUGUGGGAUGGGAAGUAGAUGAGGUAGUACCUAUUACCUGUUUAUUAUCAAACCUUUGGGAGUUACUUCUACGUUUGCUUAUGCCAUGUUAUGCCGGUAGACGUGGAUUGGGUGAGUGAUAUCCAUGACAGAUGUGAGAUUUAUAAUUAAGGGUUAUCUAAGGUGGCAACCUAACACACAUCUGGGUGGAUUGAGGCACCUGGGGUUACCAGGACUUGCCUGUUUUCUUUUGGACCGCCACCCAGGCCCAAAGGGAUCAUGAGAUUUUUCAUACUAGAAACUUCCGUGUGCAGCCACAAGCCAUUAUGGGCUCUGGCAUAGUUGACUAAGUUGUGCGAACUCUUACAGUGGUAGACUAGCAGAUGUAGGGGAAAGUAGGUGUACCGGUCUACCCGUCGUAAGGUGCUAGCGCUUCUGAAAGACUGUGUCUCGGUCAUCCGUUUCUCAAACACCUUGUAGUGCGAGAAACCAAACGGAGGUGAUCGAGUCUUGUGGGGAAAAGUGCGCAAACCUCUGCAGAGUGUAACAAACUAAUCAUGGUUAGCCGUGUCCCUGAUUAUGGACAUCUUGAGUAUCUAUUACCUGGAUUAUCAUGUGAAUCUCAACAUGUUACUCUAAAAUUAAUUUUGUGGGAUUUUAAUGAUGUUACUUAAUUGGGAUUGAGGAUGCUGUCAACCAUUCUCAAUGUUUAACAACCACCAUGAUAGUAAUUAAUUUUAUUCCUUUGAAGUAGGGAAAAAUUGGCUUUACGCAAAAACUGUAACCAUAGAGCUUUCCACCAGCCAAAUAUGCAUAUAGUAUAGUUGUUGCAUUCCAUUACUCUCUAUGUGUUACCUUGCCAGCAUAUUCCAUGUGCUGACCCGUUUCGGGCUGCAACGUUAAUGUUGCAGACUUUUCAGAUGACGAUUGAGGAAUUUUAGGUCGUGGUUCUAUACUCAGUGAUGCCGUUGGAGUUGAUGGACUCACUUAUCUUCCAAGCCUUCCGCUGUUAUCGUUAUUAGAUGGCCUUAAGCCAUAUUUAUUGUAAUAAGUUCUCUUUUGAGACACUCGAUGUAAUAAGUGUGUGAUUGCUACUCUGCUAUAAAUCCUCCGAGUACUGUGUGGUGUCAGCAUUACUGAUCCAAGGAUGACAUCGGAGCACAGAGAUCAGACUGUUUAAGGUCUGGUCGCUACAUAUUCCAGUUGCAAUUGCUUGACCAUCUCAAUUUCCGAGUCACGGCUGGAAUGCACAGGACUGAGAUAGCCGGACAGCAUGUCACUAACAUUCAGAUGAGCAUAGUGAGAGAUAUCAAAUUGUACUUUCUGUCUUUCCAAGGCCUCCUGUUUAGCAGAAUGCCUGGCCAGCACAGUCGGAUUACCCGGCGCAACAAAUCUGCUGCCAGUGAUCAAAACGUCAUGGUCAGAAGAUGCUGGCAGGUUAGCUGAACCGGACGGUCUGACGGUGGAUGGAUCGACAAUGGUUUCGUCAGCUGACGGCUCAGGAGGGUCCAAUUGAGCAUGGACAGCUAAAUCUUCUGGCGCUUCAGAUUGAGUGGGAGGAGUUGAUGUUGCCAGUUCAGGUGCAGGAUUUUUUGGGUCCUCUGCCGGUUUAAUCACCUUGGCUUUCUUGGACUUUGCUUGACCGCUAAGAAAGAUUUUUAUGAAAUAGUUAGUAUAAUGAUGCAGUUUUAAAAAUGUAGAGGAAAGAUGAUUUUCCUUACCCAUGGGCAGUCUUGAAAGCCGGAAAUUGAGUUUGGGAUGAGUCGCCAGAAGAGCGAGAGACCUCCUGCAAAGGUAAAAUAAAGUUAAGAAUAUAAGGAAAUAAAUUCAUGGAUAAAAACAAAGGACAAAGGUGAAAGAAACCUCAUUCUGGCGUUUUUGAGGAGUUUUUUCUAAGUCGAAAGGUGGUUCAUCAUCAUCAUUAGUCCGGGCCAGAUGGCGGCUCUCAUGUUGCUGCUUUUUCAAAAGAAAAUGAGGGUCCAAAUAAGCCAAAGGGUGCAAAAACCUUACUUUCCGGGUUACCAGUCGAAGUUUCUGUCUCGGCAAAGGGGCUGAGUCGUAGGAAAUAGUUACCUCUUCUUCCGCGGCCUGGCUGGCCCCCGUGUCAUCCUGGCAAUAGUCAGUGUCAAUAAGAUAGUUGAAAAUUUGGCCAAGGGAGAAAGGGCUACCUCCGACUCAGAAACAUCAUCAAGCUGGAAGAUGUCAGAUGCAGUCUUCUUCUUGGGCUUCCGGGUCGUUCUCUUGGCGGCUACGGCAGCGGAUCUAGCCUUCUUGGUAGCUUCAUGAUCAUACUUGGCCUUCCAGAAGUCAGAUUUGUCCUGUAAACAAAUAAAGAGGUUAAAAGGUCAUGCAAGUAUUUAAACUACUGAGGUAAACACAAAAAGAGAAAAAGGUCAAGAAGUUACCUCUGGUGUCGGGUUAAGUUUGCAGAAGGGGUUUAAUCCAACCUUGCUGUAGUCCUCGUAUUUGCCAUUCACGAGGAUGGUAGACAUUGCAACAAUGUCUUCUUCAGUUAAUUGUACAGAGCUAUAACGCAGAGAAUCAUUUGGGCCUCCGCCAUACUUAUACAUCAACUUGGAUCGGCGGCUUAGAGGGAUGACCCGCCAUGAGAUCCAGCAAUGGAUCAGGUCAACUCCGGUUAAGCCAUUUCCCAAUAAAGCUUGAAUCCUUUUGACAGAUGGGAUAAGCUUCUUGCGUUCAGCAGUAGUAAGCUUGUCAGGGAGCACAAACUUGGAAUCAAGACGCUCUUCACGAUAACCCGGCAGUGGUUUUUCAUCAGCCGGUGAUGUAUCUUGGCAGUAGAACCAGGUUUGCUUCCAGUCUUUGGGAUGGCUCGGUAAGACCACUAAAGGAAAAACGGCACCUUGUCAGCGUUGAAUUGAAAUUCUGCCAAGUUCCAAGCUAAGGCCGUUGGUGCACUCAUUCUGGCGGUUCAAGUAAAAGUACUCUCUAAAGAGCUCCACAGUUGGUUCUUCUUGAAGAUAUACCUCACAAAGAACUUGAAAAUUGCAGAUGUUGGAUAUAGGGUUGGGUCCAAUAUCUUGUGGAUGAAGCUUGAAAAAAUGCAGGACAUCUUGGACGAACUUUGAGCCGGGUGGUGAGAAGCCCCGGUUCAUGUGAUCUGUGAAAACGAUAACUUCGCCGUCUUUGGACUAAGGUCGUUCUUCGUCCGGGUCAGGAGCACGAUAAGACAUAACGCUUUUCUCUGGCAAAAAUCCAAUGGUGACAAAUUAUUUCAAGGUAUCUUCAGUAACUGUGGAAGGCACCCGGUUGCAGACAGUUGGCGCUUUUGACGGCAUGAUGAAGAAAGGGCAAGCUGAAAAGAAAGUAAUUUGCCGGUUCAAUUUAUUGGUGGAGUUACAGGUUCAUGAUUAUAGUACAGAUGAGUAAUGGCGGCUUAAGUAAGGGCUAAUGACAUGUAAAGGAAAAAUAAGCCGGAGUCAUAAGCCGCCAUGACUAAAAAGUAUUUGAAGGUUGCCAGAAUCAAAAUUGACUAAAGUGUUGAGACAAACAGGUUUCCCAAGUUGUGGCUAUUAUUAUGGAUCAAAAUGGUUCAGAAAAUAAAAAUAAAGUUAGACCUAGAAAACGAGCACAGAGGAGUUUGUCAGCUCUAAAGAGGCAUUUAUACAGGAGAAGGGGAUCUGUUAGCUUCAAAAAUGGAUGAGAAAUAGCUACCUCAUAAGUUUUGUACUACUUUUAGAUCAAAAGAGGGUGCGGUAAGAGAAGUUGCAACGAAUCUAUGACGAACAACGAAGAACACAAGAAGGAAACCUCCCGAACCCUAAUGCAGAUCUAUGGGGGUGAGAAGGUGAGAGCUUACAGGUGCGGAGCUGCUGCGGAGGAUCGCCACCGUUCUCUGGAUAGACUCAGGGUGAUGCUGCGGCCAGAGUUGAGGACGACGGUGCGCUACGGUGGCGACGGAGCUCGAGCGGCAAAGAAGGUGCGAGAGGAAGAAGAAAGAGGAAGGACUGGCCGAGCCUAUUUAUAAGGGGGUAAGUGAACGGGCAGACGCAAAAAUUGAGGAAGACCAAAGUAAUGAUUAUCCAGCUAAAUGGACGCCUCGAUCUUCGGAAAACAUUUAAGAUAAGGAUCCGUUGAAGAUGAAAUCGUGGUGUUUUUCCAAAUUUUUUCAAUCCUAAUGGUUGGUUAAUAAAAUAAGCUCAGUGAAUAUACAAGGCGAUAGUUUAUUAUAAGACUUGUAGUAGGCCCAAGCCCAAAGGCGGUUUAAGGCCCAUAAUUGUAAACCGCCAUGUAUAAGAAAGACUUGUAAAGAAAGGCAUGUAAGAGAAGUCACCGAGCCGAACACGUUAUAUGAGCCGGCCGGGACUCUGUAGGCUGCCAGGCGUCAACCCAUGUAUAUAAGGGGAUGACCCGGUGGCUGCUUAGGACAAGUAACAUCAAAUCAAGAGCCAUGCAUAGCGUAUUUGCUCCCUGAUCAUCGAAACCUAGCAAUAUCACAUCAACUGGACUAGGCUUUACCUUCACCGUAAGGGGCCGAACCAGUAUAAACCUUUCGUGUCCUUUGUCCCGAUUAACCCCUUUAAGCUUCCUAGUUGCGAUGGCUCCACGGCUAAGUCCUUUCACUAGGACAUCAUCCGUGACAAUUCCACGACAACUCUGGUGCGGAUCUUACUAUGGUUGACCUACGAGGUUCAGCGGUAACUUGAUCUGAAGUUUCAUGAUCAUCAUCAUUAGCUUCCUCACUAAUUGGUGUAGGAAUCACUGGAACUAAUUUCUGUGAUGAACUACUUACCAAUUCGGGAGCAGGUACAAUUGCCUCAUCAAGUUCUACUUUCCUCCCACUCACUUCUUUCGAGAGAAAGUCCUUCUCUAGAAAGGAUCCUUUCUUAGCAACGAAUAUAUUGCCUUCGGAUCUGUGAUAGAAGGUGUACCCAACAGUCUCCUUUGGGUAUCCUAUGAAGACACAUUUCUAUGAUUUGGGUUCGAGCUUAUCAGGUUGAAGCUUUUUCACAUAAGCAUCACAGCCCCAAACUUUAAGAAACGACAACUUAGGUUUCUUGCCAAACCACAGUUCAUAUGGUAUCAUCUCAACGGAUUUAGAUGGUGCCCUAUUUAAAGUGAAUGCAGUCUGAAAGUGCGUUAUAUCGACUAGAGGGGGGGUGAAUAGGCGAUUUUUAUGAAAGUCUUCAAAACAUGGAAGUUUCGAAGACAAACGAUAGAAAUAAACCUAUUACCAUGCAGUGGAAGUUAGACUACACUAGAUAAACCGUAGUCAUGUAUUCAAUGAAGUGAAAGGACAAUGACUAAUAGUAGCUAGGUAGUAAGGAUCAGGCAGGAAGAUAUUAAGAAGCCAAACGGAUCACACAGUCACUCAGUGAAGACAAAAGAUAGAGAAAACAUACAAUGACUUCACACAGAGUAACAGUAAGUAAAGAGAAGGGAAGGAUGAAACCAGUGACUCGUUGAAGACAAAGAUUUGUUGGACCAGUUCCAGUUGCUGUGACAACUGUACGUCUGGUUAGGGCGGCUAGGUAUUUAAACCAAAGGACACACAGUCCCGGACACCCAGUCCUGAACACGCAGCUCAGGACAUCCAGUCCUCACCGUAUUCCCCUUGAGCUAAGGUCACACAGACCUCGCCCAAUCACUCUGGUAAGUCUUCAAGGUAGACUCCCAAACCUUCACAGACUUCGUUCACCGGCAAUCCACAAUGUCUCUUGGAUGCUCAGAACGCGAUGCCUAACCAGCUGGAGGAUGCACAGUCCUCAAGUGUAAUAAGUCUUCAGAUCACUCAGACAAGAAGACUUAAGUGAUGCCUAAUUCUCUUUCGCUCUGGGUGGUUAGGGCUUUAUCCUCGCAAGGAAUUCUCUCUCAAAGGCUUCGAGGUGGGUUGCUCUCAAACGACAAAAGCCGUACUUUGAAUCUGAGUAGCCAACCGUUUAUGGUUGUAGGGGGUGGGCUAUUUAUAGCCACUAGGCAACCCGACCUGAUUUGUCCGAAAUGACCCUGGGUCACUAAGGAACUAACAUGUGUUCCAACGGUCAAAUUUCAAACUCACACGGAAACUUUACUUGGGCUACAAGCAAAGCUGACUUGUCCGACUCUGGACAAGAUUUUCUCUCAUAGUCUUCACUCGAAGACAUAGGUUUUUGUUUAAGCAUCACUUUAGUCAUUCUGACUGGCUCUCUUGGACCCCACUUAACAGUAUGUUGGUUCCUAUGACUCAACACAGAAGAAAAAGAACUACGAAAAAUCUAAGUGUUCAAGCUCCAUAGGCUUCAUGCGGUGUCUUCUCUUGUCAUAGUCUUCAAUGUGAAUAUCUUCAUAUACCACCUUUGACAUCAAUGUCUUCAUACACUUUUAGGGGUCAUCUCUGGUGGGAAAACCGAAUCAAUGAGGUACUUCUACCUGUGUUAUCCUGCAAUUCUCACAAACACAUUAGUCCCUCAACUAGGUUUGUCGUCAAUACUCCAAAACCAACUAGGGGUGGCACUAGAUGCACUUACAAUCUCCCCCCUUUUGGUGAUUGAUGACAAACUAGUUGAAGUUUUCAACGGGGAAUAUAAUGUGUGAAAUUGUAAAGGAUAAGGAAUUGUCUUCAUAAGUUACAAGGGCUCCCCCUGAAGAUGUGCAUAUAAGUAAUUUGCUUUUGGAAUGCAAAUGCACAUGGCAGGUUGUGCUUGUGGAGAUCCACUUCAACUUAUGAUGACAAUCCACUAUGCAUGUGAAAGUAUGUGAAGAUAAUGACAUGCAUAAUGGAAAAUGGAUGUCUGCAGAAUGAUCUAAGUGCGGAAUCUAUCAUCGCACAUGCGGAAUUUAUCAUCACAACACAAGGUAGCAAAUAGGUAGCAGACGACCAUCAAGUUUAAGUGUUACAACUCAAAGAACCAAAUGUUUCAAAACGAGAGUUGUAAGCACGAAGCAAAAUAUAAAACACCCGCCCAUAUGGACCCAUUUGAAGACUAUCAAACUCAUAUGCUUCUCCCCCUUUUGACAGUAAGGACCAAAAAGGUUUGAAGACAUAGAGCCUCUACUCGUUCCCAUGAGGAGUAGGUGAAGCAGCAGGAUCGUUGAUGGUGUUUGGCAGUGCAGACGAGCUUGGAGCAGUGUCGACGUGUGCUGAAGGAGGCGGCGAAGAAGUAGCAUCGUCUUCAUCCUCGAUCACUCUGGCAUUCACGGUUGCAGUAGAGGAAGAGAACUCAGGGUCUUCAAGUGAUGGAGUUCGUCGCAGCACAGCCCUGCGAGGAGGUGUGGAGUCAAACUUGAAGCGCUCAGUGAAGCCAUCCUCUUGCAGAUCAUCUUCAGAACACAGCAGCGUCAGCCCUUUCCAUGUGCGUCGAGAUGUUUCAUGAGCAACAAAGGCGUUCUUGGUGGCAAGAUUGUGAAUGCGAUUAACAUCCACCAAGAGGCUUUGCAUUUGACGCUUUAGCCAGUCAUGAUGCCUAUCCUGUUUCUGAUGAAGGGCCACCAGAAGCUCUCGGUCAUUGAGGACACGAGUGCGCUUCUUGGGUCGUUGAGCAAUGGUGCUAUCAGUGGCUUCAGUAAGAGCAGGAUGCGGGGCACGGGUAGUGCCAGCCAAAGGAUACACACGUGUUACUGCUUCAAUGCCUUCAACGUUCCGAGAGAAACUUUGAUGCUCUGCAUUCUGAAGACUUAGAGGUUCCUUGGCAGGCUCAGGAUAUAUGGCUUCAAUAGACAUAUCCACAUCAGGCAAAAAGAUCCGAUGAUUGCGGGCAGAUGGCUGAUAUGAGAUAGCAGAGUGAAGUUUGAUCAGCCGCAUCACCCAAGGGGCGUAGAACUUCAACCCAAAUAGAUCAGAGCCAGAUGCAGCAAGUUGGCGAAUGAAGAAAUCCUAUGUAUUGAAGCAUUUUCCAUGAAGAAUAUAGAAGACCAAAGUCUUCAUUGCACCUUCCAGCUGGGCAUGGGGAGAAUGUCCUUUGAUUGGCCAGAGAGUUCGCCUUAUGAUAUGAUAAAUGGUCCUUGGCAGAUACUCAAGGUCUUCAACAAAGAACUCCGUGGGAUAAGCAGCAUCUUGGGGCAAUGGCUUCAUCAUACUGAGCAUCUGACUCAUAUUGGGUUCAGUCUUCUGAAAGAUGCUCUCAACAGCUUCAAUGUGAAGCUGACAGCCAUGCUCAUAGAGAUCGCCAGGAGUGGGCAAGCCAGUGAGCUCAAUGAUGUCAAAGACUUUGGCUUCGUGAUGAACAUUUCCAGUCAUCCACUCUAGGACCCAAGUCUUUGGAUCUCUGUUAUACCCGCGGAUGUGAAGUGUGGCAUAGAACUGGAGCAGCAACUCUUCAUUCCAAUGCUCUUGGUCAGUGACGAAUGGUAGCAGCCCAACUUCAUUGAAGCAAUCCAAAGCUUCUUCCAGACAGGCAGACCAGCUAUAGCUUCAAUGUCAAGGCGCUUGUGUGGGAAGAUGCGACCUUUGUUGUAAAGAAUGCAUGAGUAAUAGCUUCGCUGCUGAUAGCUCCAGAACCGAUCAGAUGAUAUUCUUUCCCUGGAGUAGGGGUUCCUGGAGCUAUUGAAGAAUGUGUUGUCUGCUCUGAAGCCAUUGAUGUUAAAGGAGCCAGGUGCUAAUGCAGGACCUGGGAACCUGGGCAAUCUUGGGAUUGGCUUCUGGACCUGAGGCCUGUGCUCAACAUGAUAGUCGAAUUGGGGACCGGCAGCAGACGCAGGAACAGGAGCAGCAGGAUUAGUGGCUUCGCUGACUUCUGGUGCUGUUGGGGGUGAGGGCUCCACAUUAGCUUCAGCCAUGACGGUGUCAGUGGCUUCAGUGGUGUUGGUGGUGGCAGCCUCUAGAUUUUCAACCUCCACUUGACGAGCUGGAGGGUCGGUCAUGAUCACGUUCUCCUCGAGAACCGCUUCUUGGUGGGGCAGGGGAGUAGCAGCUUGUGGAACUUCUUCUUCCGUGGCUGAUGCAGCUAGAUUGUCUUCAGCAGAGACUUGAGGCCUUGGACCUUUGUGAAGCCUGCGCAACGCGGGCGAUGCCUGUGGAGCUGGAGUGGGCUGGGCCUCAUAGUCUUCUUCCUCUUGUUGGCGAUCCGCCCAUGAAGCAUCCUGUGCCAUUGGCGUCAGUGGACGACCAAUGCUGAUGAGUUCGUUGUUUUCAAGCUGAGGAAGAACUGCACCAUCUUCUACAUGGUCAUGUUGACCAAUGUCUUCAGCAGUGAUGGGAUCAGCUGUUGGAAAGUCUUUAGCUUUAUGAGCCUCUGUGGAAGCAGGCUCAUGGAUUGUCAGUUGGCGUUCAGCUUCAGGAUAGACCAUUGAAAUAGGUUCAACUAUCAAAGGCUCUGUGGGAGCAGCCUGUUCCUUCUUGGUCUUUCGUUUCUUCUUGGAGGGGGCAGUAGGAGAGGCUUCAGGAUGUUUCCUCUUCCUGGCUUCAGCCUCAGCAGUCCUUGUCUUCUUGAGCUCUGAAGCGGUUGACCGGCUUUUUGGCUUCAAGCCAGUCAGUCUAGUUGGGAAGACAAUCGGAACUGCUUCCUGCCUUGGUGCGUCGGAUUCAGCCGUAGCAGUCUUCUUCUUCUUCUUUGCGGCCAUCCUAGGGUCAAUGCCAGGACGCCCAAGGGCCUUGCGCUUCUCAGCCUCAUUGUAGGCUUGCACACAUCUGUCAGCCAGAGCCUUCAUGCGCUCACGUGAAUCCCGAGCUUCUGCACAUUUCUUCAGAAAGGCUUCCUUGAGCUCGUGCAUCAUGAUCUUGAAGUUCUUCACUUCUUGCACACUGAGCUUGGCCAUAUGCUUCUUGAACUGAGCCUUUUCAUAGUCAAUCUUCUGCUUUAGUUCAACAACGUGUCGGGCGAUGGCUAGCUCUGAAGCAAUGGCGCCUUGGAAGGCGACACUGAGGCCAAUGGGUAGCUGCAGAUCAUCAAAGCUGAUGUUUGGCAUAUCAAACCACUCGUCAAUGAAGUUGUGGAUGAUGGUUACAUCAAAGAGAGGCAGAUCAUUGAAGAUUUCGGCUUCUUCUUUGCUCUUGAUGAGUUGCUCAAGAGCGUCAUCUGCAAGAUCUUCAUCACUUGACAGAUCAAUGUCAUCAUUGCGCAGAAUGGCAGCAGCUGUUAGCUCUUGGCCGGUGUGUGGCAGAGGCAUCUUGGCCUUCUAGGGCUUGGAGAUGCGUGAUAAAUCUUCGGACUGCACACUGUCUUCAGGAGAUGCAGUUGCCAGUGGCUUCGCCCUUGAGAUUUUUGGUGAAGGGGCAGGCUUUGAAGCUUUGGGCUUCUUCAACUUCUUUGGUGUUGGCGCUGCAGGCGCUUCAUCUGAUUCAGCGUUAGCUGCAGGCUCAUUCACGGUUGUCCCUUGAACCAAGAUAUGGGUGAUGAGUCCUGCAAGGUUGUAGAAAGGACCGACGACAUUGGGUUCCGCAUCGCGUGUGCCGUCAGCCCUUGGAGCAGAAGGACCAGGGUUGAAGUCUAAUCCAAAAGACUUCUUGUUCUGCUUUGCUGAGUUCUUGGCAAACUGGAAGUUGCGCUUGAAUAGAUUGUCGUCACGGCACCAUAGUAGUGACGAUGGGUGUGCAUCUGCAGGCUGUGGCCCACGCACCAUGCAGGGAUAGAAGCCUUGUUCAAUGGCUUCUUCUCUGGACCUGGGUUGAAGAUUCUUGUAUAGGAUGUCUCCCCAUGGUCUCUUGAUGGCAUUUCUCUCAGCAUAUUCCUGGGUCACAAACCGGUAUUUGAACCAUUGUUCUGCCCAAUAUCUUCGAAUCCAUUGGAUUCGGGUCUUGCGCUGAUUAUAAUCCUGUUCAGGAUCUGUCUUGUAAAGCUCUGAGAGGUCAUCAGGAAAAUCUCUUGAUGUCCCCCCACGACGCUGUCUGCCACCCUUCCUUACUGAUUUCUCUGCAGCCAUGAACUUCAAACUGAAAGGCUUCAAAACGUUCAAAGGCUUCAAAGGUUUUCGCUUGCUGGACAAACAGGAACUGGCUUCGGGAGAAUUUAUAUGAUGCUGUAAGAAUUCUGCAAAUGAAUGCAGACUAUGAGAACCAAGGGAUUCUCCCAUGGACAUGUACCUGUGACAACAUUAAGGUGCAAGGGAAGGGGAAGAGGUCAUAUGCAUUCUCAGGAGAUUUUGAAGAUAAAUCAGUUUAGAAGACAUUGACCUCAUCGUGCGAAGACAUUCACUCAUAGAUAAGGAGUUGGUUCCAGAUUUGUACGAAUCCAGUGAUCAGUACAAGUGAGGAAUCUAACUACUUGUGAAGCAUAAGUGAAUAUACUAGGCAUGUUAUGAGAUGCAGUAGGAAAGAGAUCCAACUUGUGUGAAUAGAAACUUCUUAUGGUAGAAAGUGACAAAGCCAUAGGAUCAAAAGGGGCCGUAAAAAGAAGUUUUAUUUACCACACUUGGAACUGCUAGAUGGAGUGGAAGAGGAGGCCGAGCAGUUCGAUCUUCUGUGCCCUAACUUGGCGACGAAGGACACCUACGGCGACGGCGGAGAGGACGAUGUCCGCGGUCGGUGUGAAGACGGCGUCGGAGAGGUUGCGGCAGUGAAGCGCUUCGUCGCCGGCGUCGUCGAGGGCUAGCAGUGGCACUAGGGUUCGUGCGAGGGUGGAAGAAGAGAUGAUGACCGCUGUGAAGGGUGUAUUUAUAGGUACAGGGGCGGCACUGCGUUAUUACACAGGUGCCCCUGGCGAUUCACAUCUGAGGAACACGUGGCCAUCAUGCAGUAUAUUGGGGUUUGUUCCACGUCUCACGCACGCCUAGAUUGUCGGGUGGUCGUUCCUACUUCUCCGGGUUUCAUGUGGAGGAAUGGGCAUUGAAAACGGACUUAAUGUUUGUCUCUGUAUGUUCUGCUGACAAGGACGCAGAGAAGACAUUCGACAGUUUCAAUAGAAUGCAUAUGAUUUGGAGAGAUAGAGUUUGAGAUAGAGAGCACAGAGAGGUUAGGGUCCGAUCACAUUCACUUAGAUCAAAAGAUUCAACAAGAAGACAUAGCUAUAAGUGAAUACUGUAGAGGACAGAACACUAGUAUAUAUAUAUAUAUAUAAUCAACAUAGUGAAGAUAAUCAUGAAAACAUGUUGAGAUUGAAACCAAACCAAAUGUGAAGUCAUAGCAAGGUAAUGCCAUGAGUGAAACACUUCAAAUAGAACAUUUGGUGGUGGCGUUACCCACCGUAUAGGAAGUAUUAGACCCAGACACGGCGCACAAUUAUCGUGGCGCUCCGAAGUCAAAUUCCACAUUAAUGUAUUCACACUUAGAAUGUAUGUCUUCAUUGAUUGAAGAUAUACUUUACUUCGUGUGUUGCACAUCUAAGUCAUCAAUAUGCAUAAGGGUUAGGAUGUGUGCCUGAUCACAGGACAUUUGAGGAUUCCAGGAUAUUUAGCUCACAUCGUAACUUGCAAAAUCUCUUCUCAUCCAAGGGCUUGGUGAAGAUAUCUGCCAAUUGCUCUUCAGUGUUGACGUGUAUGAUAUCAAUAUCUUCCUUCACAACAUGAUCUCUGAGAAAGUGAUGACGAAUUUCAAUGUGCUUUGUCUUCGAGUGCUGAACAGGGUUGUUGGCAAUCUUGAUGGCGCUUUCGUUGUCACAGUAGAGUGGCACUUGCUUCAGAUGAAUGCCAUAGUCCUUGAGGGUUUGCUUCAUCCACAGAAGCUGAGCGCAGCAAGAUCCAGCAGCAAUGUAUUCAGAUUCAGCAGUGGAGAGAGAUACACAGUUCUGCUUCUUUGAAGACCAACAUACAGGUGAUCGUCCCAGAAAAUGACAUGUGCCUGAUGUAGACUUGCGAUCCACCUUGUCACCAGCAUAAUCAGCAUCCGAGAAUCCAACCAGAUCAAACUCUGAGCCCUUUGGAUACCAUAAUCCUAGAGUUGGGGUGUGAGCCAAAUAUCGAAGAAUUCGCUUCACAGCUAGGUGAUGCGACUCCUUUGGUGCCGCUUGAAAUCGAGCACACAUGCAAACACUAAGCAUAAUAUCUGGCCUAGAUGCACAUAGAUAAAGCAAAGAACCAAUCAUGGAGCGGUAUACCUUUUGAUCGAACUCUUUACCAUUGUCGUCAGGACCCAGAUGAUGCUUGGCUGGUAUUGGCGUCGUGAACCCUUUGCAGUCUUGCAUACCGAACUUCUUAAGGCAAUCCUUGAGAUGCUUCUCUUGAGAUAUGAAGAUGCCGUUGCGUUGCUGUCGUAUUUGAAUACCGAGGAAAAACUUCAGCUCUCCAUCAUGGACAUCUGAUAUUGCUCUUGCAUCAUAUAUCCAAACUCUUCACUGUACUUCUGAUUGGUGCAGCCGAAGAUAAUGUCAUCCACAUAUAUUUGGCACACAAACAGUUAACCAUCAUAUGUCUUCGUGAAGAGAGUGGGGUCGAGGGAACCAGGUAUGAAGCCUUUGCUCUUCAGGAAGUAUUUGAGUGUGUCAUACCAGGCCCGAGGGGCUUGUUUGAGGCCAUAUAGUGCCUUGUUGAGCUUGUAUACCGUAUCAGGAUGUUUUAGAUCUUCAGAGCCAGGUGGUUGUGCAACAUACACUUCUUCUUCAAUCUUUCCAUUGAGAAAGGCGCUCUUCACAUCCAUUUGAUAAAGAAGUAUGUUGUGAUGAUUUGCAUAGGCCAGCAGUAUGCGUAUGGCUUCAAGUCUAGCCACAGGAGCAAAUGUUUCAUUGAAGUCAAUGCCUUCCACUUGAGUAUAUCCUUGAGCAACUAGACGAGCUUUGUUUCUGACAACUUGACCAUGCUCAUCUUGCUUGUUGCGGUAUAUCCAUUUUGUGCCUAUUAUGUUGUGCUUCCGAGGAUCAGGACGCUUAACCAGUUCCCAUACAUUAUUCAGCUCAAACCGUUGAAGCUCUUCUUGCAUAGCUUGAAUCCAUUCAGGUUCCAUGAAGGCUUCUUCCACUUUCUUGGGUUCUGUUAUUGAGACGAAUGCGAAGUGCCCACAGAAAUUUGCCAGCUGGGUUGCCCUUGAUCGACUGAGCGGACCAGGUGCAUUGAUGCUGUCAAUUAUUCUCUCAAUUUGCACUUCAUUGGCAACACGAGGAUGUACAGGGCGAAGACUUUGCUCUUGCUGAUCAUUGUCGUUGUUGGAGGGAUUGUCUUCAGGUUGAGCAUUGUCUUCAGGUUGAUCUGGUGCAGAGAUGAUGAGUUCCUCUUCAGGAUGAGCUUUAGAAGGUAUGAUUUCUCCAGUUCCCAUUAGCUUGAUUGAUUCACUGGAUGGAACUUCAUCUAGCACAUUUGGCAGGUGCUCUCUUUGUGAACCGUUAGUCUCAUCGAACCGCACAUCCACGGUUUCAACCACUUUAUAAUGAAAGAGGUUGAAGACUCUGUAGGAGUGCGAAUCCUUUCCAUAUCCAAGCAUAAAACCCUCAUGUGCUUUUGGGGCAAACUUUGAAGUGUGAUGUGGGUCCUUGAUCCAGCACCUUGCGCCAAAUACUCUGAAGUAACUGGCAUUUGGCUUCUUGCCAGUGAGGAGCUCAUACGAUGUCUUGUUCAGAAGCUUGUGAAGAUAAACACGAUUGAUUGUAUGGCAUGCAGUAUCAAUGGCUUCAGGCCAGAAUUUUCUUGGAGUCUUGUAUUCAUCUAGCAUUGUUCUGGCCAUCUCAAUGAGUGUUCUGUUCUUGCAUUCGACGACGCCAUUCUGCUGUGGCGUGUACGGGGCUGAGAAUUCAUGUGUGAUGCCCAAGGUAUCAAGAUAUGUAUCAAGGCCAGUGUUCUUGAAUUCAGUGCCAUUGUCACUUUUGAUGUGCUUUAUCUUGGCACCAUAGUUGUUCAUUGCUCGAUUGGCGAAGCGUUUGAAGACAUCCUGCACUUCAGUCUUGUAAAGGAUUAUAUGCACCCAAGUGUAUCUAGAAUAAUCAUCAAUAAUGAAGAAGCCAUAGAGACAAGCAGUAGUAGUAAGAGUUGAGUAAUGAGUGGGACCGAAAAGAUCCAUGUGAAGCAGCUCGAAGGGUCGAGUAGUAGUCAUGAUUGUCUUCGAGGGAUGCUUGGCCCUCGUCAUCUUUCCUGCUUCACAGGCACCGCAUAAGUGAUCUUUCUUGAACUUGACGCCCUCAAUGCCUAUGACAUGCUUCUUCUUUGCCAGGGUGUGGAGGUUCCUCAUGCCAGCAUGCCCAAGCCUCCGAUGCCAGAGCCAGCAUUCUGAAGCUUUUGCUAGAAGACAUACGGCAAGUUGUGGUCCUGCUGAGAAAUCUACCACGUACAGAUCGUCUUUCCGAUACCCUUCAAACACUAGAGACUUGUCAGAUUCCAUUAGAACAAGGCAACAAUAUUUUCCAAAUAUUACGAUCAUGUUCAAAUCGCAUAGCAUUGAGACAGACAUUAAGUUGAAGCCAAGGGAUUCAACAAGCAUGACUUUAUCCAUGUGUUGAUCCUUUGAGAUUGCAACUCUACCUAGACCCAAUACCUUACUUUUACCAGUGUCAGCAAAUGUGAUGUGGCUCUUGUCGGAAGGACGUAAGGUUGAGUCCAUCAGAAGGCUUCUUUUGCCAGUCAUGUGAUUUGUACACCCACUAUCAGUAAUCCAUUCUGUAUACGCUGGUGUCGUACCCUACAGUGCAGUUAGGGGGAUAGGCUUCACGAAGAGAGUUGUGAAGCAAAAACAUUUGACGAACCAGUGGGUUAUGAAAGCUUAGAUCCAGAUUAGUACUGAUAGGGAGAGUAGCAAGCGAUUCAGGAACGAAGUACAUAGUAAGACCAUUCGGCAUUUGAUCUUGCGCCCUACAAGAUGUUUAAGGUCCCCAGCGAUAGCGUCAGAAGAUUUUGGUUUUCUGCUGGAGACCUUUCCCUGCAAAAGAGAGUUAAGCCUUCUUAACAACCCACAUCUUCAAGGGUGGCUUAGAAGCGAUAAGUCUAAGUGCAGAGUCUGAAAACUUUGGCUUUGGGGCUCUAGCAAAAAGUCUUGCAGGUGGACAAUAAUACUCAUAAGAAUAAGCAGAAUAGUUUUUGGUCUUAUGAACAUGGCGGUUCGAUGAACCGCGCUCAUAUUCAUAGGCCUGAGUAUGGUUUCCCUGCAAAACAUUUGCAUUAGUCCGACUCAGGUGAGUCCUCUGUCUGUAUGAAGCCUUUGGGCCAUAUGAAGCCUGUGGUCUGGGGUUUGUCUUCUUCAUCUAUGGUGUCAUGAUGACAUUCACAGGAAGAUUUUCCAAACACCUUUUGGGCACCCAGACCUUCUUCAUAGGCGGUCCAUUCCUGCAGUUAGUACCAAUGUACCUGGCAAAAACUUCACCAUUCUGAUUCUUAAAUAGUUUAUAGUUUGCAUCAAAGGAUUCAUCAAUGACAAUGGGGUUAGCACAAGUGAAGCCAGAUAGACUGGAUGGAUUUGCUGAAGGUUCCUUUGCAGCAACCCAUGUGGUUUUGGGAUACUGCUCGGGUUUCUAGUAAGAGCCAUCAGCAUUCAUUUUCCUUAUGAACCCAACACCCUCUUUCCUCGGGUUUCGGUUCAGAAUCUGCCUUUUGAGGACAUCACAUAGUGUCUGAUGCCCUUUAAGACUUUUGUACAUCCCUGUUUCAAGCAAUGUCUUCAACCUAGCAUUCUCAUCAGCAAUCGCAGUAGUAUCCUCAGUAGAGGGGUUAGUUACCACAUCAACAGUUGAAGAUAUUGCAACAGUAGCAGUAGUAGAACAUUCAGCAACAGAAGCAGCAUUAUCACGCUCAAUGCAUUUAAGACAUGGUGGUUCAAAUCCUUCCUGAGCGGAACUGAUCUGUUCGGCGCGAAGUGACUCGUUUUCCUUUUGAAGAUCUUCAUGAGCCGCUCUCAAUUUCUCAAGAUCUUGCUUCCUUUGAAGAUAAUCAUAGGAAAGCUUUUCAUGAGUUGUUGAGAGCGUUUCAUGACAACUUUCAAGUUCCUCAUAUUUAACGUGAAGAUUUUUUAUGUCUUGAAUUAAGGAUUCAGAUCGAGUCAUUUCAACGCCCAACAAAUCAUCGCUUUUGUCUAACAGUUUUUGAAUAUGUUCCAUGGCUUUCUGUUGUUCAGUUGCAAUUUUAGCAAGUGUUUUGUAGCUGGGUCUUGAAUCACAAUCAGAGUCAUCAUCACUAGAUGUUUGAUAGUGAGUAGUGCGUGUGUUUACCUUGGCACCGUGUGCCAUGAAGCAGUAGGUAGGAGCAGAGUCGUCCUUGUCAUUUGCAUCGGCGUCGGUGGUGAAGUCAUUGUCUUCAGUGUUGAAGAUGGACUUGGCAACGUAUGCUGUAGCCAGACUUGCAACACCAGAAUCGGACUCCUCCUCAGACUCCACCUCCGCCUCCUCAGACGCGGACUCCUCCUCUGAAUCCAUUUCCUUGCCAACAAACGCACGUGCCUUGCCAGAUGAGCUCUUCUUGUGUGAUGAAGACUUUGAGGAAGACUUGGAAGAAGACUUUGAGUAUUUCUUCUUCUUCUUGUCGUCAGAGUCAUAUUCCUUGCUCUUCUUCUUCUUUCUAUUCUCAUUGUCCCACUGCGGACACUCAGAGAUGAAGUGGCUAGUUUUCUUGCACUUGUGACAUGUUUUCUUCUUGUAGUCAUGAGCAGAAGCUUCAUCAUUCCUUGAGCUUGAUCGUGAAGACUUUCUGAAGCCUUUCUUCUUGGGGAAUCUUUGGAACUUCUUUACAAGCAUAGCAAGUUCCUUUCCAAUGUCUUCAGGAUCGUCAGAACUGCUGUCAGAUUCUUCUUCAGAUGAGGAGACAACUUUUGCCUUCAGGGCACGAGUUCGCCCAUAGUUUGGACCGUAGAUAUCUCUUUUCUCAGAAAGCUGAAACUCAUGUGUGUUGAGCCUCUCAAGUAUGUCGGACGGAUCGAGUAUCUUGAAAUCAGGUCGUUCUUGAAUCAUCAGGGCUAGGGUGUCAAACAAACUGUCAAGUGAUCUCAGUAGUGUCUUGACGACUUCAUGCUUGGUGAUCUCAGUGGCGCCGAGCGCUUGAAGCUCAUUUGUGAUGUCAGUGAGUCGGUCAAAUGUGAGCUGGACAUUCUCAUUGUCAUUUCGCUUGAAGCGGUUAAAGAGGUUGCGAAGAACGCUGAUUCUCUGAUCUCUCUGGGUUGAGACGCCUUCGUUGACCUUGGAGAGCUAGUCCCAGACCAGCUUCGAUGUUUCCAAAGUGCUCACACGGCCAUACUGUCCUUUGGUCAGAUGACCACAGAUAAUGUUCUUGGCAGUAGAGUCCAGUUGAACGAACUUCUUGACAUCAGCAACAGUGACACCUUCUCCAGCCUUGGGAACGCCGUUCUUGACGACAUACCAUAGGUCGACGUCAAUGGCUUCAAGAUGCAUGCGCAUCUUAUUCUUCCAGUAGGGAUAUUCAGUUCCAUCGAAGACGGGGCACGCAACGGAGACUUUAAUUAUCCCUGCAGUCGACAUAGCUAAAACUCCAGGUGGUUAAACCGAAUCACACAGAACAAGGGAGCACCUUGCUCUCAUACCAAUUGAAAGUGCAUUAUAUCGACUAGAGGGGGUGACUAGGCGAUUUUUAUGAAAGUCUUAAAAACAUGGAAGUUUCGAAGACAAAUGAUAGAAAUAAACCUAUUACCAUGCAGCGGAAGUUAGACUACACUAGAUAAACCAUAGUCAUGUAUUCAAUGAAGUGAAAGGACAAUGACUAAUAGUAGCUAGGUAGUAAGGAUCAGGCAGGAAGAUAUUAAGAAGCCAAACGGAUCACACAGUCACUCAGUGAAGACAAAAGAUAGAGCAAACAUACAAUGACUUCACACAGAGUAACAGUAAGUAAAGAGAAGGGAAGGAUGAAACCAGUGACUCGUUGAAGACAAAUAUUUGUUGGACCAGUUCCAGUUGCUGUGACAACUGUACGUCUGGUUAGGGCGGCUAGGUAUUUAAACCAAAGGACACAUAGUCCCGGACACCCAGUCCUGAACACGCAGCUCAGGACACCCAGUCCUCACAGUAUUCCCCUUGAGCUAAGGUCACACAGACCUCGCCCAAUCACUCUGGUAAGUCUUCAAGGUAGACUCCCAAACCUUCACAGACUUCGUUCACCGGCAAUCCACAAUGUCUCUUGGAUGCUAUAACGCGACGCCUAACUGGCUGGAGGAUGCACAGUCCUCAAGUGUAAUAAGUCUUCAUAUCACUCAGACAAGAAGACUUAAGUGAUGCCUAAUUCUCUUUGGCUCUGGGUGGUUAGGGCUUUAUCCUCGCAAGGAAUUCUCUCUCAAAGGCUUCGAGGUGGGUUGCUCUCAAACGACAAAAGCCGUACUCUGAAUCCGAGCAGCCAACCGUUUAUGGUUGUAGGGGGUGGGCUAUUUAUAGCCACUAGGCAACCCGACAUGAUUUGUCCGAAAUGACCCUGGGUCACUAAGGAACUGACACGUGUUCCAACGGUCAGAUUUCAAACUCACACGGCAACUUUACUUGGGCUACAAGCAAAGCUGACUUGUCCGACUCUGGACAAGAUUUGCUCUCAUAGUCUUCACUCGAAGACAUAGGUUUUUGUUUAAGCAUCACUUCAGUCAUUCUGACUGGUUCUCUUGGACCCCACUUAACAGUGCGGUGGUUCCUAUGACUCAACACAGAAGAAAAAGAACUACGAAAGAUCUAAGUCUUCGAGCUCCAUAGGCUUCAUGCAGUGUCUUCUCUUGUCAUAGUCUUCAAUGUGAAUAUCUUCAUAUACCACCUUUGACAUCAAUGUCUUCAUACAUUUUUAGGGGUCAUCUCUGGUGGGAAAACCAAAUCAAUGAGGUACUUCUACCUGUGUUAUCCUGCAAUUCUCAUAAACACAUUAGUCCCUCAACUAGGUUUGUCGUCAAUACUCCAAAACCAACUAGGGGUGGCACUAGAUGCACUUACACAGUCGUCUCUAAAGCAUAACCCCAAAAUGAUAGCAGUAAAUUAGUAAGAGACAUCAUAGAUCGCACCAUAUCUAAUAAAGUGCGGUUACGAUGUUCGGACACACCAUUAUGUUGUGGUGUUCCGUGUGGCGUGAGUUGCGAAACUGUUCUGCAUUGUUUCAAAUGAAGACCAAACACGUAACUCAAAUAUUCACCUCCACGAUCAGAUUGUAGAAACUUUAUUUUCUUGUUACGAUAUUUUUCCUCUUCACUCUGAAUUUUUUUGAACUUUUCAAAUGUUUCAGACUUAUGUUUCAUCAAGUAGAUAUACCCAUAUCUGCUCAAAUCAUCUGUGAAGGUCAGAAAAUAACAAUACCCGCCGCGAGCCUCAACACUCAUCGGACCGCAUACAUCCGUAUGUAUUAUUUCCAACAAGUCUAUUGCUCACUCCAUUGUUCCGGAGAAUGGAGUCUUAGUCAUCUUGCCCAUGAGGCAUGGUUCGCAAGCAUCAAGUGAUUCAUAAUCAAGUGAUUCCAAAAGUCCAUCAGCAUGGAGUUUCUUCAUGCGCUUUACACCAAUAUGACCUAAACGGCAGUGCCACAAAUAAGUUGCACUAUCAUUAUUAACCUUGCAUCUUUUGGCUUCAAUAUUAUGAAUAUGUGUGUCACUAUUGUCGAGAUUCAAUAAAAAUAGAUCACUCAUCAAGGGUGCAUGACCAUAAAAGAUAUUACUCAUAUAAAUAGAACAACCAUUAUUCUCUGAUUUAAAUGAAUAUCCGUCUCGCAUCAAACAAGAUCCAGAUAUAAUGUUCAUGCUUAACGUUGGCACCAAAUAACAAUUAUUCAGGUCUAAAACUAAUCCCGAUGGUAGAUGUAGAGGUAGCAUGCUGACGGCGAUCACAUCGACUUUGGAACCAUUUCCCACGCGCAUCGUCACCUCGUCCUUAGCCAAUCUUCGCUUAAUCCGUAGCCCAUGUUUCGAGUUGCAAAUAUGAGCAACAGAACCAGUAUCAAAUACCUAGGCGCUACUACGAGCAUUAGUAAGGUACACAUUAAUAACAUGUAUAUCAAAUAUACCUUUCACUUUGCCAUCCUUCUUAUCCAUCAAAUACUUGGGGUAGUUCCGCUUCCAAUGACCAGUCCCUUUGUAGUAGAAGCAUUCAGUCUCCGGCUUAGGUCCAGACUUGGGCUUCUUCACUUGAGCAACAACUUGCUUGUCAUUCUUCUUGAAGUUCCCCUUCUUCCCUUUGCCCUUUUUCUUGAUACUGGUGGUCUUGUUGACCAUCAACACUUGAUGCUCCUUCUUGAUUUCUACCUCUACAGCCUUUAGCAUUGCGAAGAGCUCGGGAAUUGUCUUAUCCAUCCCUUGCAUAUUAUAGUUCAUCAUGAAGCUUUUGUAGCUUGGUGGCAGUGAUUGAAGAACUCUGUCAAUGACACUAUCAUCAGGAAGAUUAACUCCUAGUUGAGUCAAGUGGUUGUGGUACCUGGACAUUUUGAGUAUAUGUUCACUAACAAAACUAUUCUCCUCCAUCUUACAGCUGUAGAACUUAUUGGAGACUUCAUAUCUCUCAAUCCGGGCAUUUGCUUGAAAAUUUUACUUCGACUCCUGGAACAUCUCAUAUGCUCCAUGAUGUUCAAAACGUUGUUGAAGUCCCGAUUCUAAGCCGUAAAGCAUGGCACACUAAACUAUCGAGUAGUCAUCGGCUUUGCUCUACCAGACGUUCAUAAUGUCCGGUGUUGCUUGAUACGUCUCCGUCGUAUCUACUUUUCCAAACACUUUUGUCCUUGUUUUGGACUCUAACUUGCAUGAUUUGAAUGGAACUAACCCGGACUGACGCUGUUUUCAGCAGAAUUACCAUGGUGUUAUUUAUGUGUAGAAAUAAAAGUUCUCGGAAUGACCUGAAACUUCAGGGAACGUCUUUUUGGAAAUAAUAAAAAAUCCUUGCAAAAGAUGAAGACCAGGGGGCCCACACCCUAGCCACGAGGGUGGGGGCGCGCCUGCCCCCCUAGGCGCGACCCCUACCUUGUGGGCCCCCUGGAGCUCCUCCGACCUCAACUCCAACUCUAUAUAUUUGCUUUCAGGGAGAAAAAAAUUAGAGAGAAGGAUUCAUCGCGUUUUACAAUACAGAGCCGCCGCCAAGCCCUAAAACCUCUCAGGAGGGCUGAUCUGGAGUCCGUUCGGGGCUCCGGAGAGGGGAAUCCGUCGCCAUCGUCAUCAUCAACCUUCCUCCAUCACCAAUUUCAUGAUGCUCACCGCCGUGCGUGAGUAAUUCCAUCAUAGGCUUGCUGGACGGUGAUGGGUUGGAUGAUAUUUAUCAUGUAAUCGAGUUAGUUUUGUUAGGGUUUGAUCCCUAGUAUCCACUAUGUUGUGAGAUUGAUGUUGCUAUGACUUUGCUAUGCUUAAUGCUUGUCACUAGGGCCCGAGUGCCAUGAUUUCAGAUCUGAACCUAUUAUGUUUUCAUCAAUAUAUGAGUGUUCUUGAUCCUAUCUUGCAAGUCUAUAGUCACCUACUAUGUGUUAUGAUCUGGCAACCCCGAGGUGACAAUAAUAGGGACCACUCCCGGUGAUGACCGUAGUUUGAGGAGUUCAUGUAUUCAUUAUGUGUUAAUGCUUUGGUCUGGUACUCUAUUAAAAGGAGGCCUUAAUAUCCCUUAGUUUCCGCUAGGACCCCGCUGCCACGGGAGGGUAGGACAAAAGAUGUCAUGCAAGUUCUUUUCCAUAAGCACGUAUGACUAUAUUCGAAAUACAUGCCUACAUUACAUUGAUGAAUUGGAGCUAGUUUUGUGUCACCCUAGGUUAUGACUGUUACAUGAUGAACCGCAUCCGGCGUAAUUCUCUAUCACCGAUCCAUUGCCUACGAGCUUUCCAUAUAUUGUUCUUCACUUAUUUACUUUUCCGUUGCUAUUGCUAUCAUCACUACAAAAUACCAAAAACAUUAAUUUUGCUAUCGUUACCUUUUGCUACCGUUACCACUACUAUCAUAUUACGUUGCUACUAAACACUUUACUACAGAUAUUAAGUUUCUAGGUGUGGUUGAAUUGACAACUCAACUUUCAACUGCUAAUACUUGAUAAUAUUCUUUGGCUCCCCUUGUGUCGAAUCAAUAAAUUUGGGUUGAAUACUCUACCCUCGAAAACUGUUGCGAUCCCCUAUACUUGUGGGUUAUCAAGACUAUUUUCUGGCGUCGUUGCCGGGGAGCAUAGCUCUAUUCUUUGAGUCACUUGGGAUUUAUAUCUGUUUAUCAUUAUGAAGAACUUGAGAGAUCCAAAAACCAAGAUUUAUCUCUCAACUACGAGGGGAGGUAAGGAACUGCCAUCUAGCUCUGCACUUGAUUCACCUUCUAUUUUGAGUAAGCUUGCGACACCUAAACCUGCUUCUGCUAUUCAUUCUGAUAUGUCGCAUGUUAUUAAUGAUGCCACUUGUGCUAUGCAUGAUACUUAUGAUGAAACUACUUCUAUGCUUGAUACUACUGUGCCACUUGGUGAAUUUCUUGAUGAACAACUUGCUAGGGUUAGAGAGAAUGAAAUUAUUGAAACUGAUAAUAUAUAUAUAUAUAUUUGAAUAUAUACUGUAGGGUAAAACCCCCACAGCCCUUUAUUGCAGUCUCAAAAAACAAACUGUACAGUGAAAGAAAGAGAUGACAAGCCUAAACGAAAAGUUAAGAAGAACUUACAAUUACAUGAGGGAGUUAACUCAAUCUACAAGCCUAGACUUAGAGCUAUCCUUAAACCUAUGUGACAGGAGAAGAAUGUCAUGUACAAAACUGCCCCUCCAGGCAACAAAAGUAGCCCGUAGUCCCCUGAAAGUUCUUCCAUUUCUCAGAAUCCAUAUAUUCCAAGCAGCUGUGAGCAUAACUUCAAAGAAGAAAGGAUACCCAAAUCGCUGCCUUGCUUGAGAUAUACAUUGCUGAAUAGAAGAACCAUGUGACCAAUCGAUCUGCAGGUAUUUCCAAACCCUGGCACUGAAAUUACAACCAAAGAAUAGGUGAGCCCUGUCCUCCCAAACAAAGGCAUUACAGAUGACACAUAGAUGAUCAGCCGUAGGGGACCUCCGGUGGCUGCGGACCAGCACGUCCUUUGUGUUGAGUCUGUCAAAGAAUAGGAGCCAGCCAAAAACCUUAAUUUUCAUAGUACAUAUGCUCUGCCAAAGCCACCUGCAGGGUUUAAUAGUUGGGAGGUGUGUAUGCAUGAUGUCAUAGAAGCUCUUUGCAGAAAACUGUCCAGAUUUACCAGGCCAAAUCCAAACAUCAGGCAAUGUUGGAUCUCUCUGGAGAUUGAACAUCCUUCCUUCCAAGGAUUCCAAUUCUGCUGCUGCCUGCUGAGAAAUUGGCAGAUGAAACAUUGAGAACAAAUCCUGGGUUUGCAAAAACUCCCUGACAGAAACCUUAUCAUCCAAAACAAAAGAGAAAAGCCUUGGUAAUCUGAGGCUUAGUGGCCUUGAAGAGCCACCUACAUGGCAAGCAUCCAGCCAAAAGAGAGCAGAAUCACCCAUAUUAACUGGCACUGAAGCAAUUGACCUAUAAGUGUCAGCAAGCUUGAGAAUGUCCUUCCACCAAAAGGAGCCAGUUAGGACUGUUGCAUGGGGCACCACUCCAUCAUAAUAACUAUCCCAAAUCAACUGGACCCAAGGAAUCUGCUGUUUGUUGUAGAACUUAUGCAUUUGUUUGAGAAGCAGACCUUGAUUUUGAACAUUGAGGUUGAGAAUGCCAAGUCCUCCCUUAUCCUUUGGUCUGCAAACUAAAUCACAGGCAGCUAGGGAUUGCUUAGGCACAUCAGAAUUUCCUCUCCACAAACACUGCCUGAAAAUCCUAUCCAACUGUUUGAUAAUACCAGGUGGGAUAUGCAAGCUGCAGAGGAAGUAUAUGGGCAUUGAAGUAAGCACAGAUGUGAGAAAUUGUAACCUGGAUCCUUGGUUGAGCAUGGCAGAGCUAACAGACAGUCUUCUUUCAAGACUAUCCACUAAAGGCAUGAAAUCAAUGAUUCUAGGUCUUGUUGUACCAAGAGGCAAACCCAGAUAUGUGAAAGGUAACUGCUCCGGUUUACAUCCCAGGAUGGAAGACAACCUCUGUGCCUCUGUGGGAUCAACAUUUAGUGGCACCAUUGAAGACUUUCCAAAAUUUACCUUUAGGCCAGUAGACUGUUGGAAAAUAUGGAGCAUGUUCUUGAGAGCCACCAACUGGUCCUGUACUGCAGAAAGGAUAAUUAUUGUGUCAUCUGCAUACUGAAUGAUAGGAAAUUCAGGGUCCUAAGAUGGGAUUGGAAGUGUUAGAACUCCCUUAGCCAGCAUGUUAUUGACCAUUGUUUGAAGAAGAUCGGCAGCUAUGACAAAUAAAAGAGGGGAUAGGGGAUCCCCCUGCCUGACCCCACAUUUAUAUUUGAACUGUUUGCCAGGCACCCCAUUAAGCAAAACAGAUGAUGAUCCUGAGGAGAGAAUCUCUUUAAUCCAAGAAAUCCAUUUGGCAUCAAAACCUUUGUGCUGUAGAACUUGCAAGAUGAAGUCAUGCUCCACAGUGUCAAAAGCUUUGGCAAAAUCCAAUUUCAAAAUGAUGGUUGGCCUUUUGGAUUGAUUGCAUUGAUGUAUAUAUUCAAAAGCCCAAGCCAGGCAGUCCUGAAUGGCUCUGCUCUUCAAAAACCCAUAUUGAUUCUUAUGGAUGCAUUGCAGAAUGACCUUUUGAAGCCUAUUUCCCAAAAGCUUAGUAAGGAACUUGAGGCAUGUGUUAGUAAGAGAGAUUGGUCUAAAAUCCUCAAGUCCUUCAGGAGACAACAUCUUUGGAAUUAAGGUGAUAAGGGAUCCAUUAAUAUUUUCCAAAGAUAGCCUCCCAUCAUAAAACCCCUGAAUGAGAGCCAAGAAAUCCUUCUCAAUGAUGGGCCAACACUUCUUAACAAAAAGACCAUUAAAACCGUGAAAGUGAUGAUGAAGAUUCUCCCCCUAAUAAAUAUGAAUUGCCUGUUGUGCCUGAGGGCUAUGUUAUGGAUGAAGAAAUUGCUAAAGCUAUUUUUGUUUGCAAAGAUAGAUAUGAUCUUAAGAAGUUAUUAGCUAAAUGGAAGCAGCAAUCUCUUAAUGCUAGAAUGAAACCUGACCCUGCUUUUGCUACUUCACCUAUCUGUGUUACUGAUAAGGAUUAUGAAUUCUCUGUUGAUCCUGAUAUAAUUACUUUGGUUGAAUCUGAUCCUUUUCAUGGCUAUGAGUCUAAAACUGUUGUGGCACAUCUUACUAAAUUAAAUGAUAUAGCCACCCUAUUCACUAAUGAUGAGAGAACUCGUUACUUUUAUAUCCUUAAAAUAUUCCUGUUCUCAUUAAAGGGUGAUGCUAAGAUAUGGUUUAAUUCUCUUGAUCCUGGUUGUGUGCGUAGUCCCCAGGAUAUGAUUUAUUACUUCUCUGCUAAAUAUUUCACUGCUCAUAAGAAACAAGCUGCUUUGAGGGAUAUAUAUAAUUUUGUGCAAAUUGAAGAAGAGAGUCUCCCACAAGCUUGGGGGAGGCUUCUCCAAUUACUUAAUGCUUUGCCUGAUCAUCCUCUUAAGAAAAAUGAAAUAUUGGAUAUAUUUUAUAAUGGACUAAGUGAUGCUUCCAGAGAUUACCUGGAUAGUUGUGUUGGUUCUGUUUUCAAGGAAAGAACACCGGAUGAAGCUGAAAUUCUAUUGAAUAAUAUGUUGACAAAAGAAAAUAAUUGGACACUUCCUGAGCCAGCUCCUGAGCCUAUUCCUAAACCAACUCCGAAGAAGAGGGGUAUUCUAUUUCUCAGUCCUGAAGAUAUGCAAGAGGCAAAGAAAUCCAUGAAAGAAAAGGGUAUUAAAGCUGAAGAUGUUAAGAAUUUACCUCCUAUUGAAGAAAUACACGGUCUUAAUUUACCGCCUGUUGAAGAAACAUAUGAUCUUAAUCCAUUACCUAUUGAAGAAAUACAUGGUCUUGAUAACCCGACACAAGUAGUAAAGGUAAACUCUCUCUAUAGAUAUGAUAAAAUUGAAAUCCCUCUUACUAAGUUUGCUAGCCAAUGCUUAGAUGAGUUUGAUAAUUUUAUGGUGAAGCAAGAAGAUUUUAAUUCUUAUUUUGGUAGACAAUUGAAAUACAAUUCAAAUAUGCUUGAACACUUGGGUGAUUAUAUGGCUAAUGUUAAAGGUGAAAUUAAACUUAUUAGCAAACAUGCUUCUAUGGUUACCACUCAAGUAGAACAAGUACUUAAAGCUCAAAAUGAUUUGCUCAAUGAACUGAAUAGUAAGAAUAAUGAUAAUGCUGUUAGAGUUAUGACUAGAGGUGGUAAAAUGACUCAAGAACCUUUGUAUCCUGAAGGCCAUCAUAAGAGAAUUGAGCAAGAUUCUCGGAGAAAUAAUAUAGAUGCACCUAGUUCUUCUAAAAGGAAGAAAAAGAAAAAUGAUAGGACUUUGCAUGCUUCUAGUGAACCUAUUGAUGAAACACCUGAGAAUCCAAAUGAUAUUUCUAUUUCUGAUGCUGAAACACAAUCUGGUAAUGAACCUGAAACUAGUGAUAAUAUUAAUGAUAAUGUUCAUGUUGAUGCUCAACCUAGCAAUGAUAAUGAUAUAGAAAUUGAACCUGUUGUUGAUCUUGAUAACCCACAAUCAAAGAAUCAACGUUAUGAUAAGAGAGACUUUGUUGCUAGGAAACAUGGUAAGGAAAGAGAGCCUUGGGUUCAGAAACCCAUGCCUUUUCCUCCCAAACCAUCCAAGAAAAAGGAUGAUGAGGAUUUUGAGCACUUUGCUGAAAUGAUUAGACCUACCUUUUUGCGUAUGCGAUUAACUGAUAUGCUUAAAAUGAAUCCUUAUGCUAAGUACAUGAAAGAAAUUGUUACUAAUAAAAGAAAGAUACCGGAAGCUGAAAUUUCCACCAUGCUUGCUAAUUAUACUUUUAAAGGUGGAAUACCUAAGAAACUAGGAGAUCCCGGAGUACCAACUAUACCAUGCUCCAUUAAAAGAAAUUAUGUUAAAAUUGCUUUAUGUGAUCUUGGAGUCGGUGUUAGUGUUAUGCCUCUCUCUUUAUAUCAUAGACUUGAUUUGAAUAAGUUGACACCUACUAAAAUAUCUUUGCAAAUGGCUGAUAAAUCAACUGCUAUACCUAUCGGUAUUUGUGAGGAUGUGCCUGCUGUGGUUGCAAACGUUACUAUUUUAAUGGACUUUGUUAUUCUUGAUAUUCCCGAGGACGAUAGUAUGUCUAUUAUUCUUGGAAGACCCUUUUUGAAUACUGCAGGGGCUGUUAUUGAUUGCAACAAAGGCAAUGUCACUUUUCAUGUUAAUGGUAAUGAGCAUACGGUACACUUUCCGAGGAAACAACCUCAAGUCCACAGUAUCAAUUCUAUUGGAAAAAUUCAAUCGAUUAUUUUUGAAGGUUUUGAAUUUCCUCUUCCUACUGUCAAAAGAAAUAUGAUAUUCUUAUUAUUGGGGAUGUGCAUAUCCCCGUUGAGGUAACAUAGUGUUAUUCGAAAUUCCUCCGGUUCCAUGUUAUUCGGAAUGAGUUUGCUAACAAGACUUGAUCAACCAUGUUAACGGAUUCCUUUUGAUGAGCAUGAGAUGGAUGAAACUAGAAGGCACAACUCUCCGUACCCUCCUUUUACUUUCUGUUAUUUAUAUUAAAUAAAAUUAAAAGAAGUAUUUUCCGUCUGUUAUCUGAUUUAUCCGUGCAAUAUAAAAUACCCCGAAAAUAAAAGUUCUCCAAAUGCCUUGAAAUUUAAAUAUGAUUUUUUCUGGAAUAUUUGAGAAUAUUUGGCACUAAGAACACAACACAGGGGGCAUCCACCUGGCCACGAGAGUGGAGGGCGCGCCCUACCCCCCCUGUGCGUGCCCCUUGCCUCGUGGGCCCACGGUGGCCCUCCUCCACUUAUUCCUGCACCCACACACUCCUUCCUCCCAUAAACACGAUUAUCCAGUUCGAACCCAAGUCCAAGCUCAUUUUGCUGCUAUUUUCGAUCUCCUUGCUCAAAGCACCUCUCACAAAACUGCUUGGGGGGAUUGUUCCUUGGUAUGCGACUCCUCCAUUGGUCCAAUUAGUUUUUGUUCUAGUGCUUUAUUCAUUGCAAAUUUAUGUUGUCUAGGUGCCCAUGUUCCUGAGCUUGCAUGUCAAAUUUAUGUGGUUCCAACUAGUUUUGAUGCAUGAUAUAGGCUCUAGGCACUUGUAGGAGUUGUUGCUAUCAAUUUUGUUGAGCUUGGCUCACUUUUAUUUGAAGUUACUAAAAAUUUCAGAAUUUUUCAGAAAAUAAUGAAGAGAUUUUUGAGGGGCUCAUCAAGCCGAAGCUCGAAGGAAAAGCAAAAUGAAAAAGCAGAGAGGCCCGAAUAUAAUCUGCCUCGCACCGCAGAGGUUCGGCCGUGUGAAUGGCCUUCCAAUGAUUUCUUGAGAGCAGUCGGGAUUUAUGAUGAUUUUUAUGAAUUGGCUGAGAAUGUAGGCCUCACCGCCUUCCUCCAUGACCAACGCGAACAAUAUCUCUUACUCACCAAUAUCUUUGUGCAAAACUUUCAUUUCCAUGCUAGGAGCUCACCACCUACGGUGGAGUUUUAUUUGUAUGAUGAGCACAAGGAGAUGUCACUUUACGAUUUCUGUCGGGUUUGAUUGAUCCCUUUCGAGGGCACAAUAGAGGAACCACACCGCGGUGAUGUGGAUGGGUUUAUAGAUACCAUCACUGUAGGGGAAACGAGGAAGGUUUCCGAUGCACGAAUCACUAGCAUACAUUUUCCUGUUUUACGCUACUUUGCAAUAUUUGCUAGUCGUUGCUUAAUUGGUCGCGAAAACUGUGGAAACCUUAGUGUUCCUGAUAUUAUUAUUUUGUUCCACGGUUUAUUCUGUGAUAAAUCUGUUAGUAUGGGCGGUAUUAUUGCUAAACGGUUAAGUCUCAACUGUACAAAGGGCCCCAUCUUUGGAGGCAUCUAUGCUUCACGCCUAACUGCGCAUUUUAACAUACCUAUUAAGCAUUAUGAGAAGGAAGAAAAAUUGCUGCCCCUGUUUAUUUAGAUUAUAAGAGUAUGGUGGCACACGAUUUUAUUGUUAAGAAUAGGAAAGGGGAGCUUAAAUACAAAUUGUUCUUUGAUAAACAUCAUCCUGAGACUAUUACCCUGCCUACUCCUUCCUUGUUUGAUUUAUCUCCAGGCAAGUACCUUGUUCCGUUAGAGGCUAUUCACGCCUACCGGAACAUUGCAUCAGCCACAGAGCCAGAGUCGGAACCACUAGUUGAUCCUCCACGACAGUCUAAUUACCAUUGGGAUCCAGAAAUGAUAGCCACCAGUGGAAAUCAGAGUCUUCUUCGCAGUACGACCCCAACUAUUACUAUGGAUAUCCGCCAGGCCAGCCGUGGCCAUAGACCAACUUAGGUCAAAAGCCUAAACUUGGGGGAGUACGUAUUUCCCGCCGACAUUACAUUCAUGUUCGCACACUCAUUGCUAGAUGUCGGUGCUCAUACUUUUUCAUUGUAUCAUCCAUGCUAGUUCAUUUCCUUUUUAAGCUUUCUUCUUGUGUGUUUAAUAAACCUUAAGAAAAACCAAAAAAACUAGUUGUAGCUUUUAGCUAGUUUUAAUUUCCAUGCUUGUAGUAGUAAUUAAAAAGAAAACCCAAAAAAAGAUUUCUUGUUCUUGUUUUGCUCGUUGGGAGCUUUCCCGUGUAAAUAGUUUUAUUUCUUUUCUUUGGGGGUCGAUAGGAGAAUACCAUGAUUAAAUUGUUGAAGUGGCUCUUAUAUAUAUUUUUUAUCUGACAAAAGAGCCCAUAUUGCCUUGUCUUCUCCAGUUUAUUGAAUGCUUGCAGAUUCCAGCUUAGUCCAAUGCACGCGCACUAUUAUUAUUAUCCACAUCGUUCGGUCGUGCAAGUGAAAGGCAAUUAUGACAAUAUAUGAUGGACUGACUGAGAUGAGAAAAGCUGGUAUAAACUCAACCUCUCUUGUUUUUGUAAAUAUGAUUAGUUCAUCGUUCCUGAUUCAGCCUAUUAUGAAUAAACAUGUUUGCAAUGACAACUAGAGAUCAUAGUUUCUUGUGCCAUGCUUGAUUAGCUAGGAGCUUAUAAUGGUUUACCUUGCGUGCCAACAUGCUAUUAAAAUGGUUGUGAUGUGGUAUGAUAGGGUGGUAUCCUCCUCUGAAUGAUUUGAGUGGCUUGACUUGGCACAUGCUCACGCAUGUAGUUGAAAUAAAAUCAACAUAUCCUCUACGAUAUUUAUGUUCAUGGGGAAUUAUAUCCUACUCAUGCUUGCAUUUGGUGUUGAUUAAUUUUAAUGCAUGUUUAUGAGUGUUGUCGCUCUCUAGCUGGUUGCUUCCCAGUCUUUUGCUAGCCUUCACCUGUACUAAGCGGGAAUACUGCUUGUGCAUCCAAUCCCAUAAACCCCAAAGUUAUUCCAUAUGAGUCCACCAUACCUACCUAUUUACGGUAUCUACCUGCCGUUCCAAGUAAAUUUGUAUGUGCCAAACUCUAAACCUUCAAAUAAAUAUCAUGUUUUGUAUGCUCGAAUAGCUCAUGUAUCAACUAGGGCUGUCUGUAUCUUCCAUGUUAGGCGGGUUAUUCUCAAGAGGAGUGGACUCCGCUCCUCACUCACGAGAAAAUGGCUGGUCACCGGGAUGCCCAGUCCCAUGCUUUAUGCAAAUCAAAUCAAAAUAAUUGCAAACAAAACUCUCCCUAGGACUCUUGUUAGUUGGAGGCACUCGUUGUUUUGAGCAAGCCAUGGAUUGAUGCUUGUUAGUGGAAGGGGAGUAUAAACUUUACCAUUCUGUUUGGGAACCGCCUAUAAUGUGUGUAGCAUAGAAUAUAUCGCCCUCUCUUGGUUGUUAUGUUGACAAUGAAAGUAUACUGCUCAAAAUAUUAUUCACCUCUAUUUCAAAACCGAGCUCUGGCACCUCUACAAAUCCCUGCUUCCCUCUGCGAAGGGCCUAUCUAUUUACUUUUAUGUUGACUCAUCAUCCUCUUAUUAAAAAUCACAAGUUGGAGAGCACCGCUGUCAUUUGCAUUCAUUACUGUUAGUUUACAUUGAGUAUGACUGGACUGGAUCUCUUUUACCAUGAAUUACAAUGUCUAGUCAGUCCUUGAUCUUUAAAGGUGCUCUGCAUUUAUGUUUUGCGGUCUCAGAAAGGGCUAGCGAGAUACCAUCUUGUUAUAUCAUAUCAUGAUUGUUUUGAGAAAGUGUUGUCAUCUGAGAUUUAUUAUAUUGCUCGCUAGUUGAUUAUGCCAUUGAUAUGAGUAAACAUGAGACCUAAAUGUUAUUGUGAAUAUGGUUAGUUCAUAAUCUUUGCUGAAAACUUGAAUGCUGGCUCUACAUAUUUACAACAACAAGAGCAAACAGAGUUUGUAAAAGUUUUUCUUUAUCACUUUCAGCUUAUCAACUGAACUGCUUGAGGACAAGCAAAGGUUUAAGCUUUGGGCAGUUGAUACGUCUUCGUCGUAUCUACUUUUCCAAACACUUUUGCCCUUGUUUUGGACUCUAACUUGCAUGAUUUGAAUGGAACUAGCCCGGACUUACGCUGUUUUCAGCAGAAUUGCCAUGGUGUUAUUUUUGUGCAGAUAUAAAAGUUCUCGGAAUGACCCGAAAAUCAACGGAGAAUUAUUUUGGAAUACAUAAAUAAUACUGGAAGGAAGAUCCACGUCAGGGGGGCCUCCACCUGUCCACGAGGGUGGGGGCGCGCCCUACCCCCCUGGUGCUACCUCUUGAGCACUGCGUUGGUUUUCCCUUGAAGAGGAAAGGGUGAUGCAGUAAAGUAGCGUAAGUAUUCCCCUCAGUUUUUGAGAACCAAGGUAUCAAUCCAGUAGGAGAUCACGCUCGAGUCCCACGCACCUACACAACCAAAUAAGAACCUCGCAACCAACGCGAUAAAGGGGUUGUCAAUCCCUUCACGGUCACUUACGAGAGUGAGAUCUGAUAGAUAUGGUAAGAUAAUAUUUUGGUAUUUUUAUGAUAAAGAGAAAUAAAGAUGCAAAGAAAAAUAAACGGCAAUAGAAAUAACUAAGUAUCACCUGGGCGCACCCCCUGCCUCGUGGGCCCCCUGACGCUCCACCAACCUCAACCCUGACUUCAUAUAUUCACUUUCGGGGAGAAAAAACCAGAGAGAAAGAUUCAUCACAUUUUACGAUACGGAGCCGCCGCCAAGCCCUAAACUCUCUCGGGAGGGCUGAUCUGGAGUCCGUUCGGGGCUCCGAAGAGGGGAAUCCAUCGCCAUCAUCAUCAUCAACCUUCCUCCAUCACCAAUUUCAUGAUGCUCACCGUCGUGCGUGCAUAAUUCCAUCGUAGGCUUGCUGGACGGUGAUGGGUUGGAUGAGAUUUAUCAUGUAAUCGAGUUAGUUUUGUUAGGGUUUGAUCCCUAGUAUCCACUAUGUUCUGAGAUUGAUGUUGCUAUGACUUUGCUAUGCUUAAUGCUUGUCACUAGGGCCCGAGUGCCAUGAUUUCAGAUCUGAACCUAUUAUGUUAUCAUCAAUAUAUGAGCGUUCUUGAUCCUAUCUUGCAAGUCUAUAGUCACCUACUAUGUGUUAUGAUCCGGCAACCCCGAAGUGACAAUAAUCGGGACCACUCCUGGUGAUGACCGUAGUUUGAGGAGUUCAUGUAUUCACUAUGUGUUAAUGCUUUGGUCCGGUACUCUAUUAAAAGGAGGCCUUAAUAUCCCUUAGUUUCUGCUAGGACCCCGCUUCCACGGGAGGGUAGGACAAAAGAUGUCAUGCAAGUUCUUUUCCAUAAGCACGUAUGACUAUAUUCGGAAUACAUGCCUACAUUACAUUAAUGAAUUGGAGCUAGUUCUAUGUCACCCUAGGUUAUGAUUGUUACAUGAUGAACCGCAUCCGACAUAAUUCUCUAUCACUGAUCCAUUGCCUACGAGCUUUCCAUAUAUUGUUCUUCGCUUAUUUACUUUUCCAUUGCUAUUGCUAUCAUCACUACAAAAUACCAAAAACAUUACUUUUGCUAUCGUUACCUUUUGCUGCCGUUACCACUACUAUCAUAUUACUUUGCUACUAAACACUUUGCUGCAGAUAUUAAGUUUCCAGGUGUGGUUGAAUUGACAAGUCAGCUGCUAAUAGUUGAGAAUAUUCUUUGGCUCCCCUUGUGUUGAAUCAAUAAAUUUGGGUUGAAUACUCUACCCUUGAAAACUGUUGCGAUCCCCUAUACUUGUGGGUUAUCAUUGCUCCUGCAGCGGGUCUUGCACAUAGCGGUGCUUCCAGGACGUAAUUCUUCUGUGUAGCAAUGAGGAUAAUCCUCAAGUUACGGACCUAGUCCAUGUAGUUGCUACCAUCAUCUUUCAACUUAGGUUUCUCUACGAACGCAUUAAAAUUCAAAGGGACAUUAGCACGGGCCAUUGAUCUACAACAACAUAGACAUGCAAACUACUAUCAGGUGCUAAGUUCAUGAUAAAUUAAAGUUCAAUUAAUCAUAUUACUUAAGAACUCCCACUUAGAUAGACAUCCCUCUAGUCAUCUAAAUGAUCACGUGAUCCAUAUCAACUAAACCAUGUCCGAUCAUCUCGUGAGAUGGAGUAGUUUCAAUGGUGAACAUCACUAUGUUGAUCAUAUCUACUAUAUGAUUCACGCUCGACCUUUCGGUCUCAGUGUUCCGAGGCCAUAUCUGCAUAUGCUAGGCUCGUCAAGUUUAACCCGAGUAUUCUGCGUGUGCAAAACUGGCUUGCACCCGUUGUAUGUGAACGUAGAGCUUAUCACACCCGGUUAUCACGUGGUGUCUCGGCACGACGAACUAUAGCAAUGGUGCAUACUCAGAGAGAACACUUGUACCUUGAAAUUUAGUGAGAGAUCAUCUUAUAAUGCUACCGCCGUACUAAGCAAAAUAAGAUGCAUAAAGGAUAAACAUCACAUGCAAUCAAAAUAAGUGAUAUGAUAUGGCCAUCAUCAUCUUGUGCCUUUGAUCUCCAUCUCCAAAGAACCGUUAUGAUCACCAUCAUCACCGGCUUGACACCUUGAUCUCCAUCGUAGCAUCGUUGUCAUCUCGCCAACUAUUGCUUCUACGACUAUCGCUACCACUUAGUGAUAACGUAAAGCAAUUACAUGGCGAUUGCAUUUCAUACAAUAAAGCGACAACCAUAAGGCUCCUGCCAGUUGCCGAUAACUUUUACAAAACAUGAUCAUCUCAUACAACAACUUAUAUAUCAUCACGCAAAAACAAGUUAGACGUCCUCUACUUUGUUGUUGCAAGUUUUACGUGGCUGCUACAGGCUUCUAGCAAGAACCGUUCUUAUCUACGCAUCAAAACCACAAUGAUUUUUCAUCAAGUGUGUUGUUUUAACCUUCAACAAGGACCGGGCGUAGUCAAACUCGAUUCAACUAAAGUUGGAGAAACAGACACCCAGUAGCCACCUGUGUGUGAAGCACCUCGAUGGAACCAGUCUCAUGAACGCGGUCAUGUAAUGUCGGCCUGAGCUGCUUCAUCCAACAAUACCGCCAAAUCAAAGUAAGACGUUGCUGGUAAGAAGUAUGACUAUUAUCGUCCACAACUCAUUGUGUUCUACUCGUGCAUAUAACAUCUACGCAUAGACCUGGCUCGGAUGUCAUUGUUGGGGAACGUAGUAUUUCAAAAAAAAUCAUACGAUCACGCAAGAUAUAUCUAGGAGAAGCAUAGCAAUGAGCGGGGAGAGUGUGUUCACGUACCCUCGUAGACCGAAAGCGGAAGCGUUUAGUAACACGGUUGAUGUAGUCGAACGUCUUUGCGAUCCAAUCGAUCCAAACACCAAACGUACGACACCUCCGCGUUCAGCACACGUUCAGCUUGAUGACAUCCCUCGAGCUCUUGAUCCAGUUGAGGCCGAGGGAUAGUUCCGUCAGCACGAUGGCGUGGCGACGGUGAUGAUGAAGUUACCGGCGCAGGGCUUCGCCUAAGAACUACGACGAUAUGACCGAGGUGUGUAACUGUGGAGGGGGGCAACGCCCACGGCUAAGAGAAACUUGUGUCUUUGGGGUGCCCCCCUCCCACGUAUAUAAAUGGGGGGAGGAGGCCGGCCCAAAGGGGGGCGCGCCACAUGUUGGGGGUCCUACUAGGACUCCCUAGUCCUAGUAGGAUUCCCCUCUCCUUUCCUUUUACGGAAGGGGGAAAGGGGGGAAGGAGAGGAGGGGAAGAGGGAAAGGGGGCACGCCCCCUCCCCUUCCUAUUCGGACUCCACUUGGGGGGACGCGCACGCCUCCCCCUUGUGGGUUGUACCCUCUUCUCUCCCAUGGCCCAUAAGGCCCAUGAUUUCCCCCGGGGGGUUCCGGUAACCUCCCGGUACUCCAGAAAAAUGCUCGAAUCACUCGGAAUCAUUCUGAUGUUUGAAUGCAACCUUCCAAUAUAUGAAUCUUUACCUCUCGACCAUUUCUGUGAUCUCAUCCGGGACUCCGGACAAACUUCAGUCAUCAAAUCACAUAACUCAUAAUACAAAUUGGCACGAACGUUAAGCAUGCGGACCCUAUGGGUUUGAGAACUAUGUAGACAUGACUGAGACACAUCUCCGGUCAUUAACCAAUAGCGGAACCUGGAUGCUCAUAUUGGCUCCUACAUAUUCUACGAAGAUCUUUAUCGGUCAAACCGCAUAACAACAUACGUAGUUCCCUUUGUCAUAUGUAUGUUAUUUGCCCGAGAUCCGAUCGUCGGUAUCCCCAUACCUAGUUCAAUCUCGUUACCGUCAAGUAUCUUUACUUGUUCCGUAAUGCAUCAUCAUGUAACUAACUCAUUAGUCACAUUGCUUGCAAGGCUUAUAGUGAUGUGCAUUACCGAGAGGGCUUAGAGAUACCUCUCUGAUACACGAAGUGGCAAAUCCUAAUCUCGAUCUAUGCCAACUCAACAAACACCAUCAGAGACACCUGUAGAGCAUCUUUAUAAUCACCCAGUUACAUUGUGACGUUUGAUAGCACACUAAGUGUUCCUCCGGUAUUCGGGAGUUGCAUAAUCUCAUAGUCAUAGGAACAUGUAUAAGUCAUAAAGAAAGCAAUAGCAAUAAAAUUAAACGAUCAUUAUGCUAAGAUAACGGAUGGGUCUUGUCCAUCACAUCAUUCUCUAAUGAUGUGAUCCCGUUCAUCAAAUGACAACACAUGUCUAUGGUUAGGAAACUUAACCAUCUUUGAUUAACGAGCUAGUCUAGUAGAGGCAUACUAGGGACACUCUGUUUGUCUAUGUAUUCACACAUGUACUAAGUUUCUGGUUAAUACAAUUCUAGCAUGAAUAACAAAGAUUUAUCAUGAUAUAAGGAAAUAUAAAUAACAACUUUAUUAUUGCCUCUAGGGCAUAUUUCCUUCAGGAAGAGCAUCGCGGGUGGGAGGGAGAAGGGGAAUUAAGAGAGUGUGGGUUUGGGUUUGGGCCUCCGCGUGCUAUGUGUACACAUGUGUUGGUGGGUCGAUAGUAGUGGUCCUGGGUUUAUACCCCACGCUACUACUAUGGCCUAUCCCGGGGGUACGGUAGAGACCGCUUAGUAGUAGCGAGGGAUUUAUACCCCUCACUACUACUAUCAACUUAGUAGUAGUGAGGGAUUUAUACCCCUCGCUACUACUAUCAACUUAGUAGUAGUGAGGGAUUUAUACCCCUCGAUACUACUAUGGCCAGUCCCGGGGGGCACGGUGGAGACCACUUAGUAGUAGUGUGGGGUUUAUACCCCUCGCUACUACUAUCAACUUAGUAGUAGUGUGGGUUCUAUACCCCUCGCUACCAAUAAUUAGCAGCAGUGUGGCCCAUAUACCCCUCGCUACGGUUAAGCAUCUAUCUAUAAAGUAUUUUCUAGUAGUGCAUCGAUGGCGGCGAAAUCAGUCGUUCUGCUUGUUUUCCCUACUAGCUCUCUGACGUCCAGAACAAGUUUACGGUCAUAAGGUGCAAUAACCUUGCCUUCAUGAGUGACACGAUGACACGGGAACAGGCUUCCAAGCCUAUGGUGUCGCAUCAUGUCGUGGUCUGCUAGACUUAGUGGACGAAUGCUACUACAAUAUCGGUUGAUCUCAUACUACAAUACCAAGGAAGACACGCAACUACUAUAUAUAUUUCUUCAAGUCAGUCAACACAAGUAAAAUCUGGGAGUUCAACUGGUGCAGCUAUGCAAUGCUAAUGGAGACAACACAAUUCAACUUUAGCACUUCACACAUAAGCAACACCACGUUCAAUGGCACACACCUUAGAGUGUACCUAUGGUGGUUGAUUGGGCUAUAAGAAAUGUGAGUCCAUGUGAAGAUGCCAAAUAUAAUAACACGGCUAAUUACACAUGCAGUGGCAGCAGCAACAAGUGCAUGAAUUCCACAAAUGAUCUAGGGUACACAUGCAACUGUGUCCUUGAGUAUGACAACAACCCUUAUCUUCUAGACAAAUGCAUGGUAUGCUACUAAUUUAUUUGCUAAAUAUUCCAAUGAAUUGUGUCCUUUACUUUGUACAUACCCAAUUAUAAUAUUUUAUUUUGCUAAUACAAUGUAGCCUUCAAUUUAAACCAAGGUUUGCAUCCAUUAAUUAUGUUAGGUUCAUAUGACUUCACUACAUAAAUAGGUAGAUAAUGCAUAAGACUGAGAUUGUAGCUAGGGAUGAAAAUCUAAAUACGGCAUGAAUCUAACAAUUAUGAGUAAUGUCUUUGUGACAAGAACUUUCUUUGUCUUUUAUUCCCAUGUUUGAACUAGUAUAGGUCAGGGUUACACAUUAUGGUGCACAUCACUUUAUUUGUCAUCGUUACAUUGAACACUCAUUGACUAAACAACGAUGAUCCAUCCGUCUUGUAUUACAGGUCUUCAUUUCAUUGGCCACCGAUGCUUGUAAGACUACUCCCAGAUGGUUGUUGUUGUGGAUAUGGUUGUUGAGGUUGGUGUGGUUGCUGGGGGAAUGGUUGUUGGGGUUGCUGGGAAAUUGUUUGUUCUAGUUGCUGGGAUAAUUGUUGUUGGGGCUGCAGAAAUGGUUGUUGUGGUUGUUGUGGUUGCAGGAUGGAGGGUUGCUGGGAAAAUGGUUGUUGCGGUCGUAGGGGGAAUGGUUGUUGUGGUUGUAGAGGGAAAGGUUGUUGUGGUUGUUGAGGGAAUGGUUGUUGUGGUUGUUGGGGGAAUGAUUGUUGUGGUUGCAGGGGGAAUGGUUGUUGUGGUUGCUGGGGGAANNNNNNNNNNNNNNNNNNNNNNNNNNNNNNNNNNNNNNNNNNNNNNNNNNNNNNNNNNNNNNNNNNNNNNNNNNNNNNNNNNNNNNNNNNNNNNNNNNNNNNNNNNNNNNNNNNNNNNNNNNNNNNNNNNNNNNNNNNNNNNNNNNNNNNNNNNNNNNNNNNNNNNNNNNNNNNNNNNNNNNNNNNNNNNNNNNNNNNNNNNNNNNNNNNNNNNNNNNNNNNNNNNNNNNNNNNNNNNNNNNNNNNNNNNNNNNNNNNNNNNNNNNNNNNNNNNNNNNNNNNNNNNNNNNNNNNNNNNNNNNNNNNNNNNNNNNNNNNNNNNNNNNNNNNNNNNNNNNNNNNNNNNNNNNNNNNNNNNNNNNNNNNNNNNNNNNNNNNNNNNNNNNNNNNNNNNNNNNNNNNNNNNNNNNNNNNNNNNNUGGUUGCAGAGGGAACGAUUGUUGGGUCUGGGGAAAUGGUUGUUGUGGUUGCCAGGAAAAUGGUUGUUGGGGCUGUGGAAAAGGUUGUUGUGGUUGUUGGGGUUGCUGGGGGAAUGGUUGUUGUGGUUGUAAGGGGGUCGGUUGUUGGGGUUGGGGAAAUAAUUGUUGUGAUUGCUGGGGAAAUUGUUGUUGGGGUGUGGAAAAUGGUUGUUGUGAUGGAUAUGGUUGCUGUGAUGGAUAUGGUUGUUGUGGAUAUGGCUGUUGUGGAAAUAGUUUUUGUUGAUGGGAAAAUGAUUGUUGAGGUGAUUGUAACUCUUUGUUGUUAGGGUUUAGUUGCCUAGCGGCAAUGGCGGUGUUCAUCGCCAUGGCAAGGAGGACAAAGAUGAGGAAGGUCUUCAUGUUGGAUUUGUGGUUACUACUGCUUGCUUGCCUUUGAUGCUUGUGGUCUAGGUGUGUGAAGUUUUGUUGAUGGAAGGUGUCCUUGGUGGUGCAUGUGUAUUUAUAGUUUUCAUGGCAUGGCUUGCUUUCAUCUUUGCACUCGCUCUUUGAAAAAGUGCAUCAAUGCUUAUCCAACUAAUCAUUUGGUUUGUUGUGUUUGGUGCAACUACUUACUAGUGAGAUUUUGGAUUUUCAUGAUAGUUGUUUUUUGUUGAAAUCAUCUGGUUGUAAGGAAUGUUGGAUAAUGACCAAUGACUCAUCUUCUUCACUUUACACUGCAAACAUUGAUCUAGAUUAUGUCCCUUUUUGAAAUUUAGUUUGUGGAGCUCUACAUGUUGUUAGGCUUAUCCAUAUUGGCAUAGCUUGAGUGGAGCUAAGUUUGUAAGCUUGUGUGCGCCAUUAUGAUGGAUCACACUAUUAAUGUGAUGAUUGUUUUACAAAUUAUCUUUCCAAAACUAACUUUAUGUUUUUUGCCCAAUAUGAUUCUAAGACGGAUAACCAGACAUGACUCAUCAAAUAACAAGAUAAACCGAGUAGCAAGUUGGGGGUUAUAAGUUAUAAUAUGGACUUUUCUCUAAGAUACACCAUCUUGUCUUGCAUGCUCUGUGGAUUUGAAAAGCAUCUACUAAUUUAGAUGCAAUUGAAACAAAAGUAGACUAAAAAGGUAAGCAAUGAAAUGAGAAUACUAUUAUGUGAAGCUCUACAUGUCUGGUAAGCAGUGAGAUACUGGAUACAUCUAUAUCUUCAAUCCUUUCAUCCCUAUCAACUCUUUAUUGGCUGCUUUUAUCGUAGUCAUCCCUUAAAUAAAAAUCACUUAAAUAUAAGUUUGGGAGUUAGUACCAACAUAUAUCAUGUACAAGAUAGAAAACUAAGGCACAUAUAGUAGUCUAUUGACCAUAUUUAAUUUCUUGUGAUGUGAAAGCAUGUGGAGUAUAAGUUGGUUAAAUAUAAAGUUGUCCUUCAUACCAGUAGGGAAAGAAUAUGCAGUAUAAAGAUUAGAGCAUUGGACUAAUAUGCUAUUAAAUGCUACAGGAUAAUUGACAGUUCAAGUUAAGAACAACAUUAGCAUUCCAACUUUUGUCUUGUGCAAGUUAAGAACAUGCUAACAAAGUAACCUAAGCAAAUAAGUGCAAAACCUUCACCUAUAAGGAAAUUGUGAAACUACACAAAAUGACCUAUUGUAAAGAAGGAAAAAAAUCUAAAGGUGAAUGAAAGAACGUUAAGUACAUUCAGGAUUCGAUUAUGCCUUCAUGGAUAACCUUUUAGAUGGUGACAUGUCCAUGUUGAUGUGUGUCGGCAUGGAACGAGGACAAGAAGACGUCGUUGCGUCGUACUUUGGGAAUUUCAUCAAACUGGUUGUGUGCGGGAACAAAUAUUUGUCGCCUCCCUGCUCAAAUCUCUCUUCAUGUCACUGAAUCCGACACUCCACCUACCAAAAUCAGCUGCAAGCCAGGGAUAAUCAACGGGUUUCUCCGCCCGUAGCAUCUAUCACCAAAAGUAGUUCAGACUAUAGUCUUGUAGUUCAAAAUUUUGUAAUAACAAGCACUACUAGGUUGCUUUUGUUUGUACGUCUUCAUUCUGUACAACCCAUGGAACUAAAAAUGCAUUGGUCAUUCUUUGUUCUAUACAACCAAUUCAACCAAAAAUGCAUUGGGCUUUUCUUUGUACAUCUUCGGGUUCUACAACCAAUGCAACAAAAAAUCCAUUGGGUAGUCUUCCAUUCUAGUCGGGCACCAACAGUUAAAUGAGGAGCUAAACAAUGUUGGAGUCUAAAACUACAUACAAUCAUGAAGCAUAGAGAGGCGACUUGGAAGCUGUGCUCCUGUGAGCUCGUAUUUUUGUAGACAAAAAGUAAUGUUUGUAUUUUGAAGUGGGAAAAAAUCCUAAAAAGGGAUGUUUUGCGGGUUAUAACUUACUAUUUUUGGGUCCUGGGCUGCAGGAAGGUCGUCAAAAUCAAUGUGUUUUCCCAUUCAAUGCAUGUUUCUUGGGUUAUAGGUCACGCUUUUGGUGUCCUAGGGAGAUCACUUCCCCGGUCAAGAACAUUAGGUGAUGAUUUUUAGAAAAACUCAUUGUUUUAGCCUAACUAGUUUCGAGGAUUGGUGGACGGGAUUAUCAUGGAACAAAGUGACAACCUUCCUUUUCUUCAUGCCUAAUAUAAACUUAGCAGUCAGCUAAAAGUAACUAGCGAUAUCACAGAAUGUUUUUUGUCAAAAGUAGAUACCACUUCAGGAUUCAACUCGGUUAGUUCAAUCACAGACAUGUUAAGAGCAGGAUUUACAACUAACUGCAUAGGGAACAUCUCCUUUUAUCACCCACUAUCUGUCUGUGCACUUUGGUUUUCCCGUAGCAUCACACAAAGCACUUUGUUAGUACCAAUAAUGUGCUCCAACUCUACACAUUAAUCAUCUUGAAUUCUUCUACUGAUGUCGAACAAUGUAAUAUCUUGAAUUCUUCUAACGAGUUCGGAUUAGACUACAUGGGCAAUUUAUCUGGUCCCUGAGAUGCAAGGUCGAUGAACAAUCGCUUCGUCUUAUGACGAGGGGUUGUUUUUGCCUAAGAAACUAAUACAUGUAACUUCGACACCGGAUUAAUAAAUGGUAAAACCUAAAUAAAUUAGAUCACGAGCUAAACCAUUUACUUUUGUAUGCAUUUAAACUUUUGAUACAUAUGAGCUUGUUAAGAUGUUCGCAUAAACACCAUGGUGAUUUGAAGCAAGACAAAGUAAACUUGAACCGCUUGAGCCACUGACUUAAUAAGAACCUCCUUUCCCGCGGCAGAGAUUGUUUUUAAUACAUCCACUCACUUUGGCCCAUAGUUUGUCUUUGAGAUACUUAAAAGCACUAGACAUAGAAUUGACAAUAUUAGAAGGCAAGCCCAAAUAUUUCACAUUUAGUGUUUCUACUUGGACACUGAGACCACCUUUGACCUCAUUUUUGACAUUCUCUCUGCAAUCCUUGCUGAGAAACACUGAAGGCUUCCUAUUUAUUUAUUCUUGACCUAAAGCUUCAUUGCGUCUUGCCUUGGUCUUGCACUACUUGCGGCACAAUACGCCUUUGGAACUGCCGUUCCGAAUUCAGAGUGCCGAAGGUGGUGUGACGAUGUUGAGAUACCGUACUCGUUCGGUAGUGAUUCGGGUUGAUCAUUCAGAGUAGACUUUGACAAUAGCUGCAAGGACAAGAUUGCAUUAGGGAGCCUUUUAAUUACACCUCGGAGGUGCUCAGCAUCUUCUUGAUGAACAACAUGGUCCUAGUGUUGAAUAAUAUCAUAUGGGGUAGUGCUACAACAACUCCACCACAAGCAUGGAGGAAUUUAGCAAAUUCCAUCAGUACUAGGAGAAAGCCUAGUAGCAACGCGAGGUAAAGGACUACUAGUAGCGCGGGUGCCCACGCUACUACUAGGGUGCUACAGCUAAUUGGUAGUAGUAGCGUGGGUGACACCCUGCGCUACUACCACGUCUGUUAGUAUAGUAGCGCGAGUGUCACCCGCACUACUACUAGUUAUCUGUAGCCCGGGUCUGACCCCACGCUACUACUAACUAAUUAGGAAUUAAAAAAAUAAAUUCCAUCCAUGGUUGCUGCUGCUGGGCGUCAUCGUCCUCUCCGUCCAUGGCUGAUGUUGGUCCUGGAGGGGAUGACGUCGUCCAUGGUGAUGGUACUUCCUCACCCAAAUCGUCCCCACACCUCUCCUAUGCUACUGCUACAAAAUAAGAGAAAACGAUUAGAAGAGGAAGAGAGAUAUUGAGAGGAGUAGGAGGAGCAACUGACCGGUGGCCGCCGGAGUUGGAGCUGAUGCCCGAAACCCUAGACGAUGCCCGGUGACCUGUUGCUUCUUUUCCUGGGACCUCAUGUCCUCACAAGGCCAUGUCUCAGCGAGGAAGUGCAAGUGGUUGCGUAGCAGAUCUGUUCAUCGCCAUUGGUGGCGCUCUGUUGGAUCUUCCUCUCCUUCCAGCAUCGGAGAAGGAGGAGGAAGGAGGCGAAGGUGAGGCGUAAGUCAGUGGCCCAAAAUUUUUAUAUAGAUGAGACUUACUAAGUAAUAACCCCAUAGAAUCUAUCUAUAUAAAGAUAAAGAGGCAAUCGUGUCAGGAAGCGGGUUUUUCUUUGGCCAAAAGGUACUUAGAACUUGGAACGAGCAUGAAGAGAUUAACGAGACUUCUUUCUCUUUUGAGUUUUUCUGGCGGACCUGCCGCGCAAGAUCUUUGGUCUUCCCCUGGAACCGAUGAAAAAAAGUGGAUUGCUUCUUAUGUACUCGCUCAGCUUAAGAUGCUCGCAUAAUCCCCGUGGUAAUUUGAAGCAAUACAUAGAGUAAACUAGAACUGCUUGAGCCACUAACUUAAUGAGAACCUCCUUUCCCGUAGGAUAUAUCAUUUUUUCAAUCCAUCCAUUCACUUUGGCCCAUAGUAUGUCUUUGAGAUACUUAAAAGCAGUAGAUUAGAAUUACCAAUAUCAUAAGGCAAGCCCAAAUAUUUCUCAUUUAGUGUUUCUGUUGGACACUGAGAACACCUUUGACCUCAUAUCUAACAUUCUCUACACAACCCUUGCUGAGAAACACUGAAGACUUGCUAUUAUUUAUUCUUUGACCUGAAACUUGGCAAUAGGUUUGACACAUCUGUCGCCCCUGAACCAUUUGCCUUGAAAAACAGCAGGCUGUCAUCUGCAAAUAACAAGUGGUUAACUGAUGCCACCAAAGGAGCUACUUGGAUUCCAGUAAACUGGGAUGACUAGUCUCUAGAUUUGAGGAGGCCCGAAAGGCCAUGUACUGCUAACAGGAAAAUCAAGGUGAAUUGGAUCUUGCUGCCGUAUACCACGGGUAGGUUUGAGCUCAUCAAGUUUCUUGCUCUUGAAUAAAAUUGAAUAAGAUACAGAAGCUACCAUGCUCAUUUCUAUGGAGGCCCAUUUAACAGAGAAUCCAAAGUUGAGAUUUAUCACCUCCAAAUACGCCCAUUCAACUAGAUUAUAAGCCUUCAUCAUAUCCAAUUUUAGAGUACAAUGGUGAUGUUACAAUGACUUAUUCCUUUUCAUGAAAUGUAAGCACUCGUAGGCCACGAUUAUAUUGUCAGUGAUAAGGCGACCCGGAACAGAAGCCGACUCUUCACUCAAUAUUAUCUCCGGAAGGGCCCCUUUUAGCCGGUUAGCCAGAACUUUGGGUGUUAUUUGUAAAGUUGCAUAGGCUAAUACGACAGAACUGGCUUAGGAAAGUACCAUUUUGUACCUCAUCACUAUCCUCGCCACAAUACAAAGGACAACCAUUGUUACCUCCUCGCCGCAAAUAUCCCAAUGUUUCUCAAAGAAAUGUUCAAAGAAUCCGUCCGGGCCCAAGGCCUUCAUGCGGAACAUUUGAAACAAUACAAUUUAAACCUUGUUGUAGAAUACUUAGCGUCAAGGAAGGCAUUCAUCGCAUCACUGACCUUUACUGGAACCAAGUCAGGAAAUCAUGCAUAUUAGAAACAGUCUCAGAAGUGAAAAGCUCCGAGUAAAACUAUGUUGUGAUCUCUUCCAAUUCCUUAAGAACACUGAUAACAUCACAUUAGGUUGCUACAAUGAUUUGGUCAAAUUAUUCCGCCUUCUCAUCGAAGCCCUUAAGUGAAAGAAGCAUGUGGUCUUGUCCCCACUAAUCAGCCACUUAAUCUGAGAUCUAGUAGGCAAGAUGAGUGACGGGAAGUAGUUCGGAACAAUUUCCUCUUAUUCACUUCUAAAACAAAUUUUCGGUUUUUGUCGUUCCUAAGCCAAGGAUUUGAUAAAUAUUCAUAAAUUUUUAAAAUGUUCACCAAUAUUAAAAACAUCAUGAUUUUAAAAAACCGUGAUUUUUAAACAAAAUCAUAAAUAUGAAAAUUGCCAUUCACAAAAUUUUAAAAUAAAAUCAUGAAUUUUAAAAGAAUUUUCAAAAUUUUGAUAAAUAUCUACGAAUUUUACAACUUUGAUGAAUUUUAAAAACAAACCAUAACAAAAAAACACUAGCAAGUUCGAUCCUAAAAAAUGCCUUGCCUUCUACUAUGCGUAGCGUGCAUGGACAGCCGGACCUAGACACCCUAGACCAAAAACCCUACAUCUGGGCCAGGCCCGAGCUCCAUUUUUUGGCCCAAAGCCCAGCCCAAAAAGGCAGAAAUGGUAAGAAAUGUAUACUUUAUUCAAAAUAUAGGUAUAUUAUAUUGUUUUAGUAUCUCAAAUAAUUAUUUAAAUUGAAAAAUGUCGUUGUUCAUGUGUUUCUGGACGGGCCAAGCCAGGCUCAUGCUUGGGAUUUUUGCUUCGGGCUUUGACAACCUGGCCCGGGGUAUGAUCAAGUUCAGCAUGGCCCAGUCACACACCCUUGUACAACAUUUUGUUGUAGAGAGCGGCAAAUAUAAUUUUCCCGAUCUAAUAUUGCUCGCUAUAAGUCUAUAUCUAUACUUUUUUCUAUACCCAUACUAAUAAAGCAAGGUGCGUUUCCCCAAUUUUUUCAUUCAUUCACUGUCGAAAACAAUUAUGUUUCCUAUCCGAGGUGGUCCUAAAUUCUUAUGCGUUCAUCUGCUAAAAGAAAGGCUUUUCCGGAAUUUCUUACGUGGGUUGCGCGCUAUGGCCAGUGAAGUCAGCCCACUUAUUUUUCUGCCCAUGCAGCUCUAAAAAAUCUAUUUAACACACAGGGCAAGAAAUAGUCGGCACUUCAAACUGGAAAACAAAUAAUGGGCUAGCCAAUUUUUCUUUGUUUCUGUGUUUUAUUUCUAUUUUUAUUCUCCUUCCCCGAUUUCUUUUUUCACUUCCAAGUUUACAUUUCUUAUAGAAUUUAUUUUAUAAAUUCAAAAUUCUCAAAAAACAUAGAGAAUUUUAAAAAAAUGGAAAAUGUUCAUAACUCCAAUUUUUUUGCUAUUUAAAUUUUUUUCAGAACUUGAAUUUUUUCCCUUUUUCCGAAAAUUUUAUUGUUUUUUAAAAUUGUUAGAGAUUUCUAAAAAGAAAAUGGAAAUUUAAAAAGUCUUCCAAAUUCGAAAAAAAAUCAUGUUUUAGUGAAAUUUUCACAACUCAAAUUAUUCUUAAAAAAUACACAUUUUAAAAAGUAAGGAUUUUCAAUACAUGUUCCCGUUCUAAAAAAAUGUUGACAAAUUCAAAUAAUGUUCAUGUUUUUAUUUUAAAAGUUCGUGUUUUCAAAAAUGUUUGUAAAUUCUAAAAGAUGUUCCUAUUUCAUAUUUUGUUCAUGUUUUUCUGAAAGUGUACCUAAUUUUCAAAAAACUGUUCAGGAUUUAAAAAAUGGUUCAUGUUGCCUACAAUAUUGAGAAACUUCAUACCUUAAAAUCUCCUCGAUUGAAGGAACCAUAGAUUGAAUAAUUCAUGGGCCUUCUCUGGUGGACGAUGACGUAGCAAAACUCUUAAAUGCCCUCAAUCAAUGAAUGGAAAAAUAGCGAAUUGAGUACUUCACACCCAGCGAAACAAAGAAGCUAAAUGUUCCCUUUUUACGUGCGCACAGGGUUUUGCUUGCACAAAUAAUUCUCACUAACUUCCAAUGCAUACUAAUUUUUCUCCCAUUGCGAAGCACAAGCAUAUGUGCUAGUUUUAUCCACGGUGGUACUAAAUUUUUUUGAGUCCAUCUGCUAGAAAAAGGAAAAACAGUUUUGUCAAAAUUUUCGUACAUGGGCCGCGCGCGCUGUGGCCCAGCGAAGCUGGCCCAUUUAUUUCCGGCCGAAGCAGCUGAGAAUAAUUAUUUAACGCUUGGGGCGGCAAAUAGACAAAGUUUCGCAUAGGGCGCCAAAUAUUUGGUCGGCCCAUAUUUGUUUUCUCUCUAGUUUGUUUCUUUUUUUAUUUUCCUUUCUCCUUUUCUUAUCUCUUUACUUUUUCUUUUUUCCCUUUCAAGUUAAUUUUUCUUUUCUCCUUUUCCAUAAAUUAAAUUUUUCAAUAUUUCAGAAUUUUAGUUUUGGAUUAAAUUUUCGUAAAAUCUUCAUAAUUAUUUCUCCCCAUUUUGAAUUGUUUUUAAACUAUAAUUUUUUCUUCUUCUUCUUCCAAAAUUUAUUCAAAACUAUAGAAUAAAGUUCGCAUAUUAAUUUUUUUAUGCUUUCCAAAAUUGUUUGAUAUUUUCAAAAUAUAUUGCAUUAAAAAAUUAAAUAUUUAGAUUUUAUUGAAAUGUUAAUUCAAAGUAAUGUUUGUGUUUAAAAACAUGUUUUUCAAAAUUCUUUUCAAUGUCCAAAACACGUUUUCAUUUCCAAAAAAAAUCACGUAUUCAAAACAUGUUUGCUUUCUUAUAAUAGGUUCAUGUUUUCAAAAAACAUAAAUUUCAAAAAAAUUGUCACAUCUUAAAGAAUAUUCAAAAUAUCGUAAUUAUUACUUUAUUUUUUGAAAAAAAUCAAGAAAAACAGAAAAAAAAAUGUAUAUUAUGCUACAGUAUAUUCUUAAAAUUUCGCCCUCGCCAUUUGUUAGCAUGAGCUGUUUGUUCGAGUGGCUAGCAGCACGUGGUCGAGUUUUUGAGGUCAUGAGUUUGAUCCUUCAACUCAGUGGUUGUUUUGGAUUUUUAUUCACGCCUUACAAAUACAAGUCAUUUUGGUACCUGCCAGCGGCCUUGCCAGACUCGAACUGCCGUGCAUCCGACGUGCUAUUUGACGAUAAAAGAGAAUAUGUUGCUUGACUAUAAUUAAAAAAAUGUGGGCACAUGCCAAUAAAAGAGGAUAUGCUGGUUUGACUCUGAUUAAAAAAAUGUUGGCAAGUGAGCGUCGAAAUAAUUAAAGAGAAUAAACCCUGGUAAAGUAGGGACUACCUGGUUACGUGCUUAUUAUACCAAAGAAACGGGAUUUCCUGCAAUUAGUACUUCAACCGGUUACACCAUCAUAGGAGAGAGUAGUCGAAGCAACUAUGCCACGAAGGUCGCCGUGCUGCACAAAAUGAGGAGGCAACCGCAACCUAGACACGGAGGCAGACUCGGAGAAAAAAAAGCGCAAGUUGGGUGGUGGCCACCACUCCAGCAACCCCAUCAAUAUCAAGAACUCGUGGGCCAAACAUGAUCUCAAGAACAUCGCCGGGGAGACCUUUUGAUGGACACAUCAAUUAUCUCUCCUGAUACUUCUCGUUAAAAAUAUCUUUCUAGUUCUAACGCACGGGCAUAUGUGCUAGUGAUAUAUAAAAUAUGUUGUGCCAAUGAGCACACGGGCUAGCGAGACUCGCCAUGCUUUCAUGUCAUACCGGAGUCCAAACACUCAACUGGAGGGUCCAACCUUAGCGACAGAGUCUUCUUUUGUUGGGAGAAUCUAUAUAUCCGCGAGUGUUAUAUCUCGCAUCUGGUUUACGCGCAGUGCACCUAACCACUAGGCUUUGCCUUACAUUCAUGACAGAGUAGUAAAGCUAGAUUGUUUAAGUCCACACGAGUCAAGGUUUUCAAUGUUUCUUCUCCAUUUUUUUUCAUUUUUUCAUUUUUGUUUUUAUAUUUAUUUCUGUCGGGUUUGUUUGAUCCCUUUCGAGGGCAUAAUAGAGGAACCACACCGUGGUGAUGUGGAUGGGUUUAUAGAUACCAUCACUGUAGGGGAAACGAGGAAGGUUUUCGAUGCACGAAUCACUAGCAUACAUUUUCAUGUUUUACGCUAAUUUGCAAUAUUUGCUAGUCGUUGCUUAAUUGGUUGCGGAAACUGUGGAAACCUUAGUGUUCCUGAUAUUAUUAUUUUGUUCCACGGUUUAUUCUGUGAUAACUCUAUUAGUAUGGGCGGUAUUAUUCCUAAAUGGUUAAGUCUGAACUGUACAAAGGGCCCCAUCUUUGGAGGCAUCUAUGCUUCACACCUAGCUGCGCAUUUUAACAUAGCUAUUAGGCAUUAUGAGAAGGAAGAAAAAUUGCUACCCCCUGUUUAUUUAGAUUAUAAUAGUAUGGUGGCACAUGAUUUUAUUGUUAAGAAUAAGGAAGGGGAGCUUAAAUACAAAUUGUUCUUUGAUAAACAUCAUCCUGAGACUAUUACCCUGCCUGCUCCUUCCUUGUUUGAUUUAUCUGCAGGCAAGUACCUCGUUCCAUUAGAGGCUAUUCACGCCUACCGAAACCCUACAUCAGCCAUAGAGCCAGAGUCGGAACCACAAGUUGAUUCUCCAUGACAGUCUAAUUACCAUUGGGAUCCAGAAAUGAUUGCCACCAGUGGCAAUCAGAGUCUUCUUCGCAGUACGACCCCAACUAUUACUAUGGAUAUCCGCCAGGCCAGCCGUGGCCAUAGACCAACUUAGGUCAAAAGCCUAAACUUGGGGGAGUACGUAUUUCCCGCCGACAUUACAUUCAUGUUCGCACACUCAUUGCUAGAUGUCGGUGCUCAUACUUUUUCAUUGUAUCAUCCAUACUAGUUCAUUUCCUUUUUAAGCUUUCUUCUUGUGUGUUUAAUAAACCUUAAGAAAAACCAAAAACAUUAGUUGUAGCUUUUAGCUAGUUUUAAUUUCCAUGCUCGUAGUAGUAAUUAAAAAGAAAACCCAAAAAAAAGAUUUCAUGUUCUUCUUUUGCUUGUUGGGAGCUUUCCCGUGUAAAUAGUUUUAUUUCUUUUCUUUUCUUUGGGGGUCGAUAGGAGAAGACCAUGAUUAAAUUGUUGAAGUGGCUCUUAUAUGUAUUUUUGUUGAUCUGACAAAAGAGCCCAUAUUGCCUCGACUUCUCCUGUUUAUUGAAUGCUUGCAGAUUCCAGCUUAGUCCAAUGCACGUGCACUAUUAUUAUUAUCCACAUCAUUCGGUCGUGCAAGUGAAAGGCAAUUAUGACGAUAUAUGAUGGACUGACUGAGAUGAGAAAAGCUGGUAUGAACUCAACCUGUCUUGUUUUUGUAAAUAUGAUUAGUUCAUCGUUCCUGAUUCAGCCUAUUAUGAAUAAACAUGUUUGCAAUGACAACUAGAGAUCAUAGUUUCUUGUGCCAUGCUUGAUUAGCUAGGAGCUUAUAAUGGUUUACCUUGCGUGCCAACAUGCUAUUAAAAUGGUUGUGAUGUGGUAUGAUAGGGUGGUAUCCUCCUCUGAACGAUUCGAGUGGCUUGACUUGGCACAUAUUCACGCAUGUAGUUGAAACAAAAUCAACAUAGCCUCUACGAUAUUUAUGUUCAUGGUGAAUUAUAUCCUACUCAUGCUUGCAUUCGGUGCUGAUUAAUUUUAAUGCAUGUUUAUGACUGUUGUCGCUCUCUAGCUGGUCGCUUCCCAGUCUUUUGCUAGCCUUCACCUAUACUAAGCGGGAAUACUACUUGUGCAUCCAAUCCCAUAAACCCCAAAGUUAUUCCAUAUGAGUCCACCAUACCUACCUAUUUACGGUAUCUACCUGCCGUUGCAAGUAAAUUUGUAUGUGCCAAACUCUAAACCUUCAAAUAAAUAUCAUGUUUUGUAUGCUCGAAUAGCUCAUGUAUCAACUAGGUUUGUCUGUAUCUUUCAUGUUAGGCGGGUUAUUCUCAAGAGGAGUGGACUCCGCUCCUCACUCGCGAGAAAAUGGCUGGUCACCCGGAUGCCUAGUCCCAUGCUUUAUGCAAAUCAAAUCAAAAUAAUUGCAAACAAAAUUGCCCCUGGGACUCUUGUUAGUUGGAGGCACUCGUUGUUUCGAGCAAGCCAUGGAUUGAUGCUUGUUGGUGGAGGGGGGGUAUAAAAUUUUCCAUUCUGUUUGGGAACCGCCUAUAAUGUGUGUAGCAUGGAAGAUAUCACCAUCUCUUGGUUGUUAUGUUGACAAUGAAAGUAUACCGCUCAAAAUAUUAUUUACCUCUAUUUCAAAAUCGAGCUCUGGCACCUCUACAAAUCCCUGCUUCCCUCUGCGAAGGGCCUAUCUAUUUACUUUUAUGUUGAGUCAUCAUCCUCUUAUUAAAAUGCACCAGUUGGAGAGCACCGUUGUCAUUUGCAUUCAUUACUAUUAUUUUACAUUGAAUAUGACUUGACUGGAUCUCUUUUACCAUGAAUUACAAUGUCUAGUCAGUCCUUGAUCUUUAAAGGUGCUCUACAUUUAUGUUUUGCGGUCUCAGAAAGGGCUAGCGAGAUACCAUCUUGUUAUAUCAUAUCAUGAUUGUUUUGAGAAAGUGUUGUCAUCCGAGAUUUAUUGUUAUUGCUCGCUAGUUGAUUAUGCCAUUGAUAUGAGUAAACAUGAUACAUAAAUGUUAUUGGAAUAUGGUUAGUUCAUAAUCUUUGCUGAAAACUUGAAUGCUGGCUCUACAUAUUUACAACAACAAGAGCAAACAGAGUUUGUAAAAGUUUUUCUUUAUCACUUUCAGUUUAUCAACUGAAUUGCUUGAGGACAAGCAAAGGUUUAAGCUUGAGGGAGUUGAUACGUCUCCGUCGUAUCUACUUUUCCAAACACUUUUGCCCUUGUUUUGGACUCUAACUUGCAUGAUUUGAAUGGAACUAACCCGGACUGACGUUGUUUUCAGCAGAAUUGCCAUGGUGUUAUUUUUGUGCAGAAAUAAAAGUUCUCGGAAUGACCUAAAAAUCAAAGGAGAAUUAUUUUGAAAUAUAUAAAAAAUAUUGGAAGGAAGAUCCACGUCAGGGGGGCCUCCACCUGUCCACGAGGGUGGAGAGCGUGCCCUACCCCCCUGGUGCUACCUCUUGAGCACUGCGUUGGUUUUCCCUUGAAGAGGAAAGGGUGAUGCAGUAAAGUAGUGUAAGUAUUUCCCUCAGUUUUUGAGAACCAAGGUAUCAAUCAAGUAGGAGAUCACGCUCGAGUCCCGCGCACCUACACAAACAAAUAAGAACCUCGCAACCAAUGCAAUAAAGGGGUUGUCAAUCCCUUCACGGUCACUUACGAGAGUGAGAUGUGAUAGAUAGGAUAAGAUAAUAUUUUUGGUAUUUUUAUGAUAAAGAGAAAUAAAGAUGCAAAGUAAAAUAAACAGCAAUAGAAAUAACUAAGUAUCACCUGGGCGCACCCCCCUGCCUCGUGGACCCCCUGACGCUCCACCGACCUCAACCCUGACUCCAUAUAUUCACUUUCGGGGAGAAAAAAACCAGAGAGAAAGAUUCAUCAUGUUUUACGAUAUGGAGCCGCCGCCAAGCCCUAAACUCUCUCGGGAGGGCUGAUCUGGAGUCUGUUCGGGGCUCCGGAGAGGGGAAUCCGUCGCCAUCGUCAUCAUCAACCUUCCUCCAUCACCAAUUUCAUGAUGCUCACCGCCGUGCGUGAGUAAUUCCAUCGUAGGCUUGCUGGACGGUGAUGGGUUGGAUGAGAUUUAUCAUGUAAUCAAGUUAGUUUUGUUAGGGUUUGAUCCCUAGUAUCCACUAUGUUCUGAGAUUGAUGUUGCUAUGACUUUGCUAUGCUUAAUGCUUGUCACUAGGGCCCGAGUGCCAUGAUUUCAGAUCUGAACCUAUUAUGUUUUCAUCAAUAUAUGAGUGUUCUUGAUCCUAUCUUGCAAGUCUAUAGUCACCUACUAUGUGUUAUGAUCCGGCAACCCCGAAGUGACAAUAAUCGGGACCACUCCUGGUGAUGAUCGUAGUUUGAGGAGUUCAUGUAUUCACUAUGUGUUAAUGCUUUGGUCUGGUACUCUAUUAAAAGGAGGCCUUAAUAUCCCUUAGUUUCCGCUAGGACCCUGCUGCCACGGGAGGGUAGGACAAAAGAUGUCAUGCAAGUUCUUUUCCAUAAGCACGUAUGACUAUAUUCGGAAUACAUGCCUACAUUACAUUGAUGAAUUGGAGCUAUUUCUGUGUCACCCUAGAUUAUGACUGUUACAUGAUGAACCGCAUCCGACAUAAUUCUCUAUCACCAAUCCAUUGCCUACGAGCUUUCCAUAUAUUGUUCUUUGCUUAUUUACUUUUCCGUUGCUAUUGCUAUCAUCACUAUAAAACAACAAAAACAUUACUUUUGCUAUCGUUACCUUUUGCUACCGUUACCACUACUAUCAUAUUACUUUGCUACUAAACACUUUGCUGGAGAUAUUAAGUUUCCUGGUGUGGUUGAAUUGACAACUCAGCUGCUAAUACUUGAGAGUAUUCUUUGGCUCCCCUUGUGUCGAAUCAAUAAAUUUGGGUUCAAUACUCUACCCUCGAAAACUGUUGCGAUCCCCUAUACUUGUGGGUUAUCAUUGCUCCUGCAGCGGGUCUUGCACCUAGCGGUGCUUCUAGGACGUAAUUCUUCUGUGUAGCAAUGAGGAUAAUUCUCAAGUUAUGGACCCAGUCCGUGUAGUUGCUACCAUCAUCUUUCAACUUAGCUUUCUCUACGAACGCAUUAAAAUUCAAAGGAACAGUAGCAGGGGCCAUUGAUCUACAAUAACAUAGACAUGCAAAAUACUAUUAGGUGCUAAGUUCAUGAUAAAUUAAAGUUCAAUUAAUCAUAUUACUUAAGAACUCCCACUUAGAUAGACAUCCCUCUAGUCAUCCAAAUGAUCACGUGAUCCAUAUCAACUAAACCAUGUCUGAUCAUCACGUGAGAUGGAGUAGUUUCAAUGGUGAACAUCACUAUGUUGAUCAUAUCUACUAUAUGAUUCACGCUCGACCUUUCGGUCUCAGUGUUCCGAGGCCAUAUCUGCAUAUGCUAGGCUCGUCAAGUUUAACCCGAGUAUUCUGCGUGUGCAAAACUGGCUUGCACCCGUUGUAUGUGAACGUAGAGCUUAUCACACCCGGUUAUCACGUGGUGUCUCGGCACGAUGAACUAUAGCAAUGGUGCAUACUCAGAGAGAACACUUGUACCUUGAAAUUUAGUGAGAGAUCAUCUUAUAAUGCUACCGCCGUACUAAGCAAAAUAAGAUGCAUAAAGGAUAAACAUCACAUGCAAUCAAAAUAAGUGAUAUGAUAUGGCCAUCAUCAUCUUGUGCCUUUGAUCUCCAUCUCCAAAGAACCGUUAUGAUCACCAUCAUCACCGGCUUGACACCUUGAUCUCCAUCGUAGCAUCGUUGUCAUCUCGCCAACUAUUGCUUCUACGACUACCGCUACCGCUUAGUGAUAAAGUAAAGCAAAAACAAGUGUGAUGUCCUCUACUUUGUUGUUGCAAGUUUUACGUGGCUGCUACGGGCUUCUAGCAAGAACCGUUCUUAUCUACGCCUCAAAACCACAACAAUUUUUCGUCAAGUGUGUUGUUUUAACCUUCAACAAGGAUCGGGCGUAGUCAAACUCGAUUCAACUAAAGUUGGAGAAAUAGACACCCACUAGCCACCCGUGUGUGAAGCACCUCGGUAGAACCAGUCUCAUGAACGCGGUCAUGUAAUGUCGGUCUGAGCCACUUCAUCCAACAAUACCGCCAAAUCAAAGUAAGACGUUGCUGGUAAGAAGUAUGACUAUUAUCGUCCACAACUCAUUGUGUUCUACUCAUGCAUAUAACAUCUACGCAUAGACCUGGCCCGGAUGUCACUGUUGGGAAACGUAUUAUUUCAAAAAAAAAUCCUACAAUCACGCAAGAUAUAUCUAGGAGAAGCAUAGCAAUGAGCGGGGAGAGUGUGUCCACGUACCCUCGUAGACCGAAAGCGGAAGCAUUUAGUAACACGGUUGAUGUAGUCGAACGUCUUUGCGAUCCAACCAAUCCAAACACCUAACGUACGGCACCUCCGCAUUCAGCACACGUUCAGCUCGAUGACAUCCCUCGAGCUCUUGAUCUAGUUGAGGCCGAGGGAUAGUUCCGUCAUCGCGAUGGCGUGGCGACGGUGAUGAUGAAGUUACCGGCGCAGGGCUUCGCCUAAGCACUACGACGAUAUGACCGAGGUGUGUAACUGUGGAGGGGGGCACCGCACACGGCUAAGAGAAACUUGUGUCUUUGGGGUGCCCCCUCCCACGUAUAUAAAUGGAGGGAGGAGGCCGGCCCAAGGGGGGGCGCCACAUGUGGGGAGUCCUACUAGGACUCCCUUGUCCUAGUAGGAUUCCCCUCUCCUUUCCUUUUACGGAGGGGGAAAGGGGGGAAGGAGAGGAGGGGAAGAGGGAAAGGGGGGCACGCCCCCUCCCCUUCCUAUUCGGACUCCACUUGGGGGGGACGCGCACGCCUCCCCCUUGUGGGUUGUCCCCUCUUCUCUCCCAUGGCCCAUAAGGCCCAUGAUUUCCCCCAGGGGGUUCCCGUAACCUCCCGGUACUCCGAAAAAAUUCCCGAAUCACUCGGAAUCAUUCCGAUGUUCAAAUGCAACCUUACAAUAUAUGAAUCUUUACCUCUCAACCAUUUUCGUGAUCUCAUCUGGGACUCCGAACAAACUUCAGUCAUCAAAUCACAUAACUCAUAAUACAAAUUGGCAUCGAACGUUAAGUGUGUGGACCCUACGGGUUUGAGAACUAUGUAGACAUGACCGAGACACAUCUCCGGUCAAUAACCAAUAGCGGAACCUAGAUGCUCAUAUUGGCUCCUACAUAUCUACGAAGAUCUUUAUCGGUCAAACCGCAUAACAACAUACGUUGUUCCCUUUGUCAUAUGUAUGUUAUUUGCCCGAGAUUCGCUCGUCGGUAUCCUCAUACCUAGUUCUAUCUCGUUACCGGCAAGUCUCUUUACUUGUUCCAUAAUGCAUCAUCUGGUAACUAACUCAUUAGUCACAUUGCUUGCAAGGCUUAUAGUGAUGUGCAUUACCGAGAGGGCCCAUAUAUACCUCUCUGAUACACGGAGUGACAAAUCCUAAUCUCGAUCUAUGCCAACUCAAGAAACACCAUCGGAGACACCUGUAGAGCAUCUUUAUAAUCACCCAGUUACGUUGUGAUGUUUGAUAGCACACUAAGUGUUCCUCCGGUAUUCGGGAAUUGCAUAAUCUCAUAGUCAUAGGAACAUGUAUAAGUCAUGAAGAAAGCAAUAGCAAUAAAAUUAAACGAUCAUUGUGCUAAGAUAACGGAUGGGUCUUGUCCAUCACAUCAUUCUCUAAUGAUGUGAUCCCGUUCAUCAAAUUACAACACAUGUCUAUGGUUAGGAAACUUAACCAUCUUUGAUUAACGAGCUAGUCUAGUAGAGGCAUACUAGGGACACUCUGUUUGUCUAUGUAUUCACACAUGUACUAAGUUUCCGGUUAAUACAAUUUUAGCAUGAAUAAUAAAGAUUUAUCAUGAUAUAAGGAAAUAUAAAUAACAACUUUAUUAUUGCCUCUAGGGCAUAUUUCCUUCAGGAAGAGCAUUGCGGGUGGGAGGGAGAAGGGGAAUUAAGAGAGUGUAGGUUUCGGUUUGGGCCUCCGCGCGCUAUGUGUACACAUGUGUUGGUGGGUCAAUAGUAGUGGCGCCAGGUUUAUACCCCACACUACUACUAUGGCCUAUCCCGGGGGUACGAUAGAGACCACUUAGUAGUAGCGAGGGAUUUAUACCCCUCGGUACUACUAUCAACUUAGUACUAGUGAGGGAUUUAUACCCCUUGCUACUACUAUCAACUUAGUAGUAGUGAGGGAUUUAUACCCCUCGAUACUACUAUGGCCAGUCCCGGGGGGCACGGUGGAGACCACUUAGUAGUAGUGUGGGGUUUAUACCGCUCGCUACUACUAUCAACUUAGUAGUAGCGUGGGUUCUAUACCCCUCUCUACUAAUAAUUAGCAGCAGUGUGGCCCAUAUACCCCUUGCUACUGUUAAGCAUCUAUCUAUAAAUUAUUUUCUAGUAGUGCAUCAAUGGCGGCGAAAUCAGUCAUUCUGCUUGUUUUCCCUACUAGCUCUCUGACGUCCAGAACAAGUUUACGGUCAUAAGGUGCAAUGCCCUUGCCUUCAUGAGUGACACGAUGACACGGGAACGGGCUUCCAAGCCUAUGGUGUCGCAUCGUGUCGUGGUCUGCUAAACUUAGUGGACGGAUGCUACUCCAAUAUCGGUUGAUCCUAUACUACGGUACCAAGGAAGACACGCAACUACUAUAUAUAUUUCUUCAAGUCAGUCAACACAAGUAAACUCUGGGAGUUCAACUGGUGCAGCUAUGCAAUGCUAAUGGAGACAACACAAUUCAACUUUAGCACUUCACACAUAAGAAAAACCACGUUCAAUGGCACACACCUUAGAGUGUACCUAUGGUGGUUGAAUGGGCUAUAAGAAAUGUGAGUCCAUGUGAAGAUGCCAAACAUAAUAACACGGCUAAUUACACAUGCAGUGGCAGCAGCAACAAGUGCGUGAAUUCAACAAAUGAUCUAGGGUACACAUGCAACGGUGUCCUUGAGUAUGACAACAACCCUUAUCUUCUAGACAAAUGCAUGGUAUGCUACUAAUUUAUUUGCUACAAAUUCCAAUGAAUUGUGUCCUUUGCUUUGUACAUACCCAAUUAUAAUAUUUUAUUAUGCUAAUACAAUGUAGCCUUCAAUUUAAACCAAGGUUUGCAUCCAUUAAUUAUGUUAGGUUCAUAUGACUUCACUACAUAAAUAGGUAGAUAAUGCAUAAGACUGAGAUUGUAGCUAGGGAUGAAAAUCUAAAUACGGCAUGAAUCUAACAAUUAUGAGUAAUGUCUUUGUGACAAGAACUUUCUUUGUCUUUUAUUCCCAUGUUUGAACUAGUAUAGGUCAGGGUUACACAUUAUGGUGCACAUCACUUUAUUUGUCACCGUUACAUUGAACACCCAUUGACUAAACAACGAUAAUCCAUCCGUCUUGUAUUACAGGUCUUCAUUUCAUUGGCCACCGAUGCUUGUAAGACUACUCCCAGAUGGUUGUUGUUGUGGAUAUGGUUGUUGAGGUUGGUGUGGUUGCUGGGGGAAUGGUUGUUGGGGUUGCUGGGAAAUUGUUUGUUCUAGUUGCUGGGAUAAUUGUUGUUGGGGCUGCAAAAAUGGUUGUUGUGGUUGCAGGAUGGAUGGUUGCUGGGGUUGGGGCUGGGGAAAUGAUUGUUGUGAUUGUUGGGGUUGCUGGGAAAAUGGUUGUUGCGGUUGAAGGGGGAAUGGUUGUUGUGGUUAUAGAGGGAAAGGUUGUUGUGGUUGUUGAGGGAAUGGUUGUUGUGGUUGUUGNNNNNNNNNNNNNNNNNNNNNNNNNNNNNNNNNNNNNNNNNNNNNNNNNNNNNNNNNNNNNNNNNNNNNNNNNNNNNNNNNNNNNNNNNNNNNNNNNNNNNNNNNNNNNNNNNNNNNNNNNNNNNNNNNNNNNNNNNNNNNNNNNNNNNNNNNNNNNNNNNNNNNNNNNNNNNNNNNNNNNNNNNNNNNNNNNNNNNNNNNNNNNNNNNNNNNNNNNNNNNNNNNNNNNNNNNNNNNNNNNNNNNNNNNNNNNNNNNNNNNNNNNNNNNNNNNNNNNNNNNNNNNNNNNNNNNNNNNNNNNNNNNNNNNNNNNNNNNNNNNNNNNNNNNNNNNNNNNNNNNNNNNNNNNNNNNGAAUGGUUGGUGGGGAAUUAUUUGUUCUGGUUGCUGGGGAAUUAUUUGUUCUGGUUGCUGGGGGAAUGGUAGUUGGGGUUGGGGAAAUGGUUGUUGGGGUUGCUGGGGGAAUGGCUGUUGUGGUUGCAGAGGGAACGAUUGUUGGGUCUGGGGAAAUGGUUGUUGUGGUUGCCAGGAAAAUGGUUGUUGGGGCUGUGGAAAAGGUUGUUGUGGUUGUUGGGGUUGCUGGGGGAAUGGUUGUUGUGGUUGUAAGGGGGUCGGUUGUUGGGGUUGGGGAUAUAAUUGUUGUGAUUGCUGGAGAAAUUGUUGUUGGGGUGUGGAAAAUGGUUGUUGUGAUGGAUAUGGUUGCUAUGAUGGAUAUGGUUGUUGUGGAUAUGGCUGUUGUGGAAAUGGUUGUUGUUGAUGGGAAAAUGAUUGUUGAGGUGAUUGUAACUCUUUGUUGCUAGGGUUUAGCUGCCUAGCGGCAAUGGCGGUGUUCAUCGCCAUGGCAAGGAGGACAAAGAUGAGGAAGGUCUUCAUGUUGGAUUUGUGGUUACUACUGCUUGCUUGCCUUUGAUGCUUGUGGUCUAGGUGUGUGAAGUUUGGUUGAUGGAAGGUGUCCUUGGUGGUGCAUGUGUAUUUAUAGUUUUCAUGGCAUGGCUUGCUUUCAUCUUUGCACUCGCUCUUUGAAAAAGUGCAUCAAUGCUUAUCCAACUAAUCAUUUGGUUUGUUGUGUUUGGUGCAACUACUUACU
rnacentral:lncRNA from 1 species